rnacentral:lncRNA from 1 species
AUCAGUAAACUGAAUAUUACAAUGUGAAAGAGCUUUUGUAAGAAUAGCACGACAGGGGUGCCCUAGCCGAGAGUGCCAAACAUUUAAAGGGAGCAUUUUGCUAACUGUAAGACAUUGAGCAUGUUUUGAAGACAGUCCACUUUGAGGAAGUUUGUUGAGAUGAAGCCUGUACAAGCCAUGAUGCACAGAACCCUUCAGGAGAACCUCUCUAGUCUGUAAAUCACGGACCUGACACUGAGUGGGAAAAAACUCAAACAUCACCCUGUUAUCUUUAGCAAACUUUGACACAGAUAAAAGAUUUUUAGUAAUACUAGGCACAAGCAACAAGGAUCUCAUAUACAAUGGUCGAGAUCAAGUAAUUAGUGAUGACUGCCCUGUAGACAGAACAGGAAGAGCAGAACCAUUGCCAACAAACACUUUACCUGGUCCUUUGUGUGAGUCACUGUCACUAAGAGAAGUAAUUGAAUUUGUAAGAUGAUGUGUGGCACCUGAGUCUGGGUACCAGGAGUUAUCAGCCACUGUUUCAGGAGUAGCCACAUAAGCCUGAGAUUGUGCUACGCCAGAGGAAGGCAUGCUGACCUGUUGAAAUGGGCUACCAACACACGGGUUAGGCCAGGUAGAUGGAGAGGGAAUUGGAAAACACCAACCUGGUGGAAACCACUGCAUAUUUUGUUGAGGAGGUGAUGACCACGGUAUUGUAGUGGGACUGGAGUUGACCAUACAAACGUUUGCUUGAGGAUGAGGCCGAUAGUUACUACUUUUGUAAGUGGAGUCAAACCGAUGGUAGCAGCGGUCGACUAGAUGCCCAGGCUUUCCACAUAGCUGACAUUGAAUCUUUGAGCCAGAGAAACGCCCUCGACCACGGCCCCGAGAACUAGUUGAUGAUUUGUAAGCAGGUACGGAACUAUUGUCAACAAUAGUUGUUUCUGAAUUCUGAUGAGACACCAUGUUGGCUGAGCUAGAAACAUCAGAGAUCACAACCUGUUGCCGAUUUUCAGUAUCAAGAAGCAUGGACGUGACUCCUUGAACUGUGUAAGGAACUUGACUUGCUGCAACAAUAGAAAUUACAGAUUCAUAUUCAGUAGAAAGACCAUUCAAGAUUGCUGUAACAUGCUCGCGCUCACUGAUAACUUCACCAUAACUAGCCAAAGCAUCACAACAACUCUUAACCUUCAUCAAGAACUCUUUCAUACUCAAGUCACCUUUGCGUUGGGAGUGCAAAGAUCUUCGAUGAAACAUUAAUUUGGAGGUUGUUUGCGUACCAUAUAAAGCAAUAAUAGCAUCCCAGAUUUUAGCACUGGUGUCCAUACCAAUGAGAUGAGGAAGAACAGUUGGAUUAAUCGAAGAUAGCAACCACGAUGCAAGCGCACUGUCUUGCUGUUCAUACCGCUCAAAUUCUGGAUUUUCCCGAAGACCACCAUUGUCACCUGCAAUAAACUGGACAGGAGUUUGCUGUGAGUCCAAGAACCCUUGAAGCUUAUGCGCUUUUAGUGCCAAGAGAACCUGUUGCCUCCACAGCAAAUAGGUAUUAUCAUCAAGAAGAAUACUAAUCUUCUUUGUAGAAAAUAACCUAUUGUCGACUACACCAUCAGCCGCAGCACAAUCCAUGACAACAAAAACAAAAGAGUAGCACAGCGGAUAGACGAGAAAGCUGACCCAGGAGAAGCCUUAAUCUGAUACCAUGUUAAAGCAAAUAGAAACUAACACAGAAAGAAAUAAAAGAUCAAGAAGAGAAUUAUUGUUUUUCAUUGCUUUCAAAACUGAUACGUGCAUGCAUUUAUACAAGUGAAGUCUAACUGACGUAAGCAAAGUAACUGCUAUUUAACUAACACCAGCUUUUAACAAACUAGCUACUUUUUGCAUGCAGUUACAACUGCAUUACUCUUAACAAGUAUUCAUAAACGAGAGCUCGGUCAUAUCCAUCGGCACAAAACCCAACAAGGCGAGUCACAUUCACAUGGUGGAUUCUGCCCAUCGAACCCACCUCGUUGACAAACUCUUCACCAUUUCCCUUGAAAUUAUUGAGUACCUUGACAGCAACUAAAACAUCACUGGAAAGCCUGCCUUUGAAGACAGUUCCAUAGCCUCCUUGUCCCAGUUUGUCCUUGAAAUGAUUAGUUAUCCUUUUAAUAUCAGCAUAGGAGUAUCUUGAGGGUUUAAGCUCUUUAUAAUCUUCCAAAAACUUUUCAAUCUUGACUUGACUUUCUUUCUCCUUUUUGUCUAACCGAUAUCUCCACCCAACUGCAAUGGCAAUGGUUGCAGCAAUUGAAGAACCCAACACAAUACCUGCAAAUCAGCAUACAUCCCUGUGUUAUAUCCUGUCUAAAAUUAUUGAAGCUAAAAGGGAAAUUCCAUUUACCUGCAACCAUUAGCCUUUCUCCCAAACCUGCCAAACAUUUAAAAUUAUUCAGCUUUGAUACAUGGGAAAUCUAAGAAAAGGGCUCACUGUAAGUUUACAACAUUAAGCUUCACUUUGAUGCAGGCUAAUGAUUUUUUUUUAUAGUUAUAAUAGUUAAAACAUACCUAUAUGGUGUUUGGGGAUAUCAAAACACUCGGUUUGUUCCUUGGUGCUAUUAUUGUUGUUCAAUCUACAUCCCCUUCCUUGAGCUUCGCAAUCACCACAGUCUGGUUUAUACCAACGUAAUUGAAAACGGUUACCAUAAGGAGAAAUGGGCGUUGAGAAGUUGCGAAAGUAGCUGCAAUUCAACAGGUUCUCUGGAUAAAUAGGGUCAUAAGAAGCAAAAGCUAUAAUUUGGGAGCCAGGGGUGCUUAAGCAAUCGACUCUGUUUCCUUCAUACAAAGCCUUAUCUUGGCUUGAACAUUCAAACAAGGCAUAGUUGGAUUCAGUUGGCUGGGAUAUAUAAACUUUUAGGCGGCUGAAACCUUGUUGUUCCACCGCGAAUGGAAAGGCAGAAAAAUUGAGAUCUAAAAGCUGCCGCCAGAGGCAACCGCCGGGAAAGUCCAAGUUAAUCCGCUGAGCUUCAUAAUCUAUGUGCUUCACCAACAGCUCCAGCGAACGUGGUAUCUUCAGCAGGGUCUGUUUGUUUUCUGAGCAGGAAAGCUGAAACCCAGGAUGAGGAUAGCCGCAGUGGGGUGACUGCUGGCCUUCUAAACGGAAGGGGAAAUGGACAGGUGGAUCCUGGUGGUUGCACCGCCGCGCCUUGCAGUCGUCUUGGAUUGGCACUGCUUCUGCAACAUCCACAGCUAAGAUAAAGCAGAAUAACGAGUAAAUUAACAUUGUUCUUACUAACUUGUGAGCCCCUGAAGUGAAACGGGCUUUAAAUAAUUUCAUUGACAUAGGUGGUUCAGCCCUUGAGAGUUCCAAUUAUGCACGCAACGCAGCUGCUGCUUUACCAUAUAGCUUUGUCUCGUUUAACAGGGUCUUCAACUCUCCGUCCUCUCUUUGUUCUCUUUUCUGAGUAAAUGUUAGACAUGUUUGAUUGUUAGCAACCCUUUCUAACUUUGUUACUAAUUUUCUUUUAUUCCCGUUAGUUGUAGUAAAAUUUGAGGGAAAAACACUGAACAUGAGAAUGAAUACCGAUUUGCUGUUGUGAUCAUAGUGGGGUCAGCUUGACUGACUCUUGUUUUUCCACCUUCGUUGAAGUUUCCUCUUCCCUUUAUAGUUUUUACUACAUUUUGUUUGGUAUGACUAAGUAGUUGACUGACUUUUAUGGGUUCUUUUUAAUGUCUAUCGUUUUUUUUCUAAUGUAGGUGAUUUUUUUCUCACUUUUUUUUUCUAAUUUAUCUUUUAUUUUUGGAUUUUAAUUCGAAAUCGCAAAACUUGAACCAUCAUAUGUUUUUAAAUUUUAAAUCACUUAUUUUAGAUAGAACAAAUUUUUUAAAAGUGGAUACAAGACAAAAUGACAUAAUUUUUUUAAUAUGAGUAUGGAACAAUUAUAGUCAUUGCUUGUUCUACUCGUCCUAUCUCGAAAUAAUCUUUUACCUUUUUUGUAUAUAAUUAUUAAAAUGAUAAAAAUGUAAUAAUAUAUUAUAGGAAAAAAAUCAUAUGUUUUAUAUUUAUAUUUUUAAAAAAUUAUGUUUAAAUACUUACUCGUCCUAUCUCGAAAUUUCUUGUAGUUAUACUGUCUUUGAGAUGUUUUUAUUCGCGAUUUUGAACUAAUUUUCUAAAUACCUAGGGGAGAUGAACCUUAUGAUGAAUUUUGUCUUUUGAUUUCUGUUUUAUGCAAUGAAUAAUUGAAUCUUAUUCUCAAUUAUGUGUGCUUAAUCCUUGAUUUAAGAUUUUCGAAUUAUUAAUUCAUGUUUGAUGUGCUUAAUUAAGAGUAGAUCUAGCAUAAUUGAGUGGAGUUGCAUGUAAUCCUAGAAAUAGGACGACAUAAAUCUAACGAAUUAGGUAUUCAUAAACGAGAACUCAAUCAUAUCCAUCAGCACAAAACCCAACCAGGCGAGUCACAUUCACAUGGUGGAUUCUACCUAUCGAACCCACCUCAUUGAUGAACUCUUAAUAUUUAACUAAAGUUUGCUUUCUACUUUUUUUUUAUUUCCAUUUUUAAGAAAAUGUUAUUUUAUUAAUUCAAUUAUCUAAAUUAAUAUUAUUUUAUUUAAAUUAUAUUAAUCCUCAUUUAAUUAUUACAAGUAUAUUAUUUUAAAAUUAUAAAAAAUAUUAUUUAAUAAAUUAAACAAAUAAACAUUUAAAAUCACAUACAUUACAUUAAAAACUAAUAUAUCUAAAUAUAUAUUUUACCACUUAUUUUAAUCUUGUUAUUUUUAAUUUCAUCAAAAUUAUAUAUCACUCGAGCCACUGCGACUGCUGACUGGUGAUUAUUGAAAGGUUCUGAAUUAAUACAUCCAAGACUUUUAUGAGCAUCGCCAUUGACUGACCGACGACUUGAAUUAAAGAAUUUUCCACAUUAGCUUUGUUAGUGGACUGAUUUUUCAAAGAAGGACUUGCUCUCAAUUGCAGCCAUAAAAUAAAUGAAUGAUUGGCAUUUUACAUUAAAGAACAUCCCAUUGUUUAUUUCUUCAUCGGAGCUCCACCGGAACUUGAUGAUGUUAAGACCCAGACUUGUCUUGUUUAGCAUCUUUGCCCUUACUUUAUCCCCAGAUGUUUCCGAUGGUAGAGCAGGCAAAAGCAACCACUGCGGCCCAUCUUUGUGUGGACACGUUAAUAUCAGUCACCCUUUCCGACUAAAAGGUCAGCCUCGUCGAUGUGGUGACCGUAGGUUUGAAUUAGAGUGCAAGAGAAACCGCACCAGUUUUCCCAUGAAAUACGGAAACUUUUAUGUCCUAAACAUCUCUUAUGUUGACCGAACGCUUCGACUUGUGGAUGUGAGUCUGGUCGAUGAAAACUGCUCAAUUCCUCGCAGUUCCAUUGUCGAUUCUUCAGACAGCUAUCUAGAACACAUAAUAGCGAAUGGAGCAGACACCAUGUAUCUGGUAAAUUGCACGACAAGUAUGAAGUCUUCUUCAGUUUAUGUCGAUGCUUCUCGUUGCCCAACCAAUAGCUCUUCUUCUCCUUGGACCUACUUCUACUUUCCGGUCUCGUUUUCAAAUAUAUCCGAUUUCGAUCAUUCGUGCAGAUUUAUAGCCCAGUUUCCUGUCAUGCUUUCCAAUAUUAGUGGCUUAUCCCCUUCUUACAUUUACAAAAACCUGUUGGAAGGCGUCGAGGUGUCCUGGUAUCGUUUUUGGCCUUCAAACCCGAUUCUCAAAGUGUAAGAGACUUCGAUCUUUAGAUUCUUUCAAUCUAUAACUUUUCAAGGCCUUAUUUAUUGAUUGGUUGCUUUUUUUUUUCCUGGGGGGGGGGGUAUUCUAGCUUGCUACAGUUGCUACUUCCAAUUGCAGCAUACAUAGUAACCAUUGCGAACUUUCUUCAGCAGGGAAGCAUCAACUAUUAUACUCCUUAUCAUAAAGGUUAAUGUUUCAGAUUUCAUAAGUAUCUGUAUUUAUUGGAUUUGCCCUUGAAUUGCAUUCAAGUUAGUAAUACUAUUGUUGAAUUGGUGUUUUAAACAGCAUCCUUCUUAGUUUGUCUUGCAGUAUCAGGUAAAUCUCUUUCCCCGCCCCACUUUUUUAUGUUAUCUUUAUAAAAUAAUCAUGAAUGCUGAUUUAUCCUUGUGUAUGCCCCUUGAUGGGCAAGCAGCUGGCAUAUUGUUAGCGAGAACUUUGUUGGGGAUAUUCUGCCUCAUUACACUUGUUAUACACAAACUAAGGAGGAGGCAUUUAUCGAUGGAUGAUAAUAUUGAGAACUUUCUUAAAAGUCAAAAUAAUUUAAUACCAAUUCGAUAUUCGUAUUCUGAAAUAAAAAGAAUUACGGAAGGUUUUAAAGUUAAAUUAGGUCAAGGAGGUUAUGGUUCUGUGUUUAAAGGAAAGCUUCGCAGUGGUCGGCUAGUGGCAAUAAAAAUGUUGGAUAAAUUCAAAGCAAAUGGAGAAGAUUUCAUCAAUGAAGUUGCUACUAUUGGAAGGAUUCAUCAUAUUAAUGUAGUGCAACUUAUUGGAUUUUGUGUAGAGAGAUCAAAACAAGCUCUUGUAUAUGAUUUUAUGGUGAAUGGGUCUUUGGAUAAAAUUAUAUUUUCAAAGGAGAAUUGCACUUUAAGUUGGCAAAAAUUAUUUGAGGUUGCACUAGGUGUGGCUCGAGGGAUUGAAUACUUGCACAGGGGUUGUCAAAUGCAAAUUUUGCAUUUUGAUAUCAAGCCGCACAACAUUCUUUUGGACGAAAACUUUAUCCCUAAAGUUUCUGAUUUUGGUCUUGCAAAAUUAUAUUCAGUGGAUGAUAGUAUUAUUUCUCUCACAGCGGCUCGUGGUACAUUAGGAUACAUUGCUCCUGAAUUAUUUUACAGAAAUAUUGGAGGCAUCUCAUAUAAAGCCGAUAUUUAUAGUUUUGGAAUGUUAUUAAUGGAAAUGGUGGGAAGAAGAAAGAAUUUGAAUGCAUUUGAUGAUCAUUCUAGUCAAAUUUAUUUUCCGUCAUGGAUUUAUGAUCGAUUUGAACAAAGAGAGAACAUAGAAUUAGGGGAUGAAACAGAAGUUGAUGACAAAAUAGCAAGGAAGAUGAUAAUGGUUGCAUUUUGGUGCAUACAAAUGAAUCCCACUAAUCGUCCUUCAAUGAGCAAAGUUUUGGAAAUGCUCGAAAAUGAACUUGAUCACCUUGAAUUACCGUCCAGACCUUCACUAUUUUCUCUCGAAAAGUCAAUUGAAGAUCAUGUUAGUAAGAAUGUAUCGGAGGAACCAUCAACGUCAAAAAGUUGUGUGGACCUCUAAGUAUAAUGUUUGAUUUUAUUCGGGCCUUUUAUACAUAUAGUUCUGCAACUGUAAGCUUUUAAUUUGUAGCAUUUCAUGUUCAGUUGUAUAAUAUCCAGCAUCAUGUAAUACAACUAUUAAUGGAUGUGUGUUUUAGACUUUAGCUCCUUAGCUUCAUGUUUCAAUUAUUAAAAAUGUCUCCCAGUCACCAUAUAAUGAGUUAAUAUCAAAUUCGUUUACAAUUAUUUAGUAUAUAAGUGACUCUUAACAUUGGGUGAUCUCAUGAGAAAGUUUUUACUGAUCUCUUAUUGUAAUAUGUAAUCAUGAUAAUUAUGAGUGUGGUGUGGCGGUUGCUCACUUCAUUUUUAAAUCAUUUAGUCAAGAAUUUGAGUUCCGCUCAAAGAAAUGGAACACUUACCAACUAUGAAUACCUUAAUUUUGACAAUUAAACAACAUUUAAGAUAGAAUCUUAUCAUUUAUUAGUAGAAUUUAUAUACCAACAGCCAUGCAGCAUUUCAUUUAUGAGUUCAUAUAAAAUCUUAGCAUUGGUGUAAUAUGAGUGUGCUAAUAGACGAUUUCAAGUUUCAACUGAUUCUAGUACUACUAAUAAUGAGGCUCGAGCUUGUUCUUAUUCCAUUUCUGAAAUAGUGGCUAGAUCUCUGUUAACCGGCUUCCUAGGUAUGGUGGCACCCAUCGUCUUCGUUGGAUCCGUCGACGCAAAAGGAUUUGGUGGCAUUGUAAGAACGUCAAGCUCUCCCUCUAACAUCUGAACCACCACUUUCAUCGAAGGACGAUCAACGGGAUACCACUGAAUGCACCAAAGUCCAACAAUCAUGAGUUUCUUUGCUAUCCCUGUUUGUGCAUCAUCUUCAAUUCGAAUCCCGAACUCCCCUCCUUUAUCCAAACGAUCAUAUGCCCAUUCUGGGAAAUACACUUGGCUUGUGUUCUCGACCGUAACAUCUAUGUUCUUUCUCCCCCCAACCAUUUCAAGCAACAGCAUUCCAAAACUAUAAACAUCAGAUUUAUAUGACACAUUUCCAAAGUUGCGAGACAGUACCUCUGGUGCAAUAUAGCCCAUGGUACCUCUAGCUGUUGUCAUUGAAAUAGCACUUUGUUCCUUGGAACACAAUUUAGCAAGGCCGAAAUCAGAGAUCUUAGGAUUGAAGUUGUGAUCAAGCAAAAUAUUGUGAGGUUUGAUGUCAAAAUGGAGGAUACGUUGCUCGCAACCUUGAUGCAGGUACUCAAUGCCUUUGGCUACACCGACAGCAAUAUCCUGAAGUUUUUCCCAACUCAGGGAUCGAUCCUUGCCCUUGGCUGAAAAUAUGAACUUCUCUAAUGACUCGUUUGGUAGGUAUUCAUAAACGAGAGCUCUGUCAUAUCCAUCGGCACAAAACCCAACCAGGCGAGUCACAUUCACAUGGUGGAUUCUGCCCAUCGAACCCACCUCGUUGAUGAACUCUUCACCAUUUCCCUUGAAAUUAUUGAGCACCUUGACAGCAACUAAAACAUCACUGGAAAGUCUGCCUUUGAAGACAGUUCCAUAGCCUCCUUGUCCCAGUUUGUCCUUGAAAUGAUUAGUUAUCCUUUUAAUAUCAGCAUAGGAGUAUCUUGAGGGUUUAAGCUCUUUAUAAUCUUCCAAAAACUUUUCAAUCUUGACUUGGCUUUCUUUCUCCUUUUUGUCUAACCGAUAUCUCCACCCAACUGCAAUGGCAAUGGUUGCAGCAAUUGAAGAACCCAACACAAUACCUGCAAAUCAGCAUACAUCCCUCUGUUAUAUCCCGUCUUAAAUUAUUGAAGCUAAAAGGGAAAUUUCAUUUACCUGCAAUCAUUAGCCUUUCUCCCAAACCUGCCAAGCAUUUAAAAUUAUUCAGCUUUGAUACAUGGGAAAUCUAAGAAAAGGGCUCACUGUAAGUUUACAACAUUAAGCUUCACGUUGAUGCAGGCUAAUGAAUUUUUUAACGUACGUUGUACAAUUAUAAUAGUUAAAACAUACCUAUAUGGUGCUUGGGGAUAUAAAAACACUCGGUUUGUUCCUUGGUGCUAUUAUUGUUGGUCAAUCUACAUCCCCUUCCUUGAGCUUCGCAAUCACCACAGUCUGGUUUAUACCAACGUAACUGAAAACGGAUACCAUAAGGAGAAAUGGGUGUUGAGAAGUUGCGAAAGUAGCUGCAAUUCAACAGGUUGAGUCCAUAAUAAUUUUCAUCAGAAGCAAAAGCUAUAAUUUAGGAGCCAGGGGUGCUUAAGCAAGCGACUCUAUAUCUUUUAUACAAAGCCUUCUCUUGGCUUAAACAUUCGAACAAGGUAUAGUUGGAUUCAGCUGGUUGGGAUCUAUAAUCUUUUAGGCCGCUGAAACCUGGUUGUUCCUCCGCGAAUGGAAAGGCAGAUAAAUUGAGAUCUAAAAGCUGCUGCCAGAGGCAACGGCCGGGAACGUAGAAGUCAAUCCGUUGAGCUUCAUAAUCUAUGUGCUUCACCAAUAGCUUCAGCGAACGUGGUAUCUUCAGCAGGGUCUGUUUGUUUUCUGAGCAGGAAAGCUGAAACCCAGGAUGAUGAUAGCCGCAGUGGGGAGACUGCUUGCCUUCUAAACGGAAGGGGAAACGGACAGGUGGAUCCUGGUGGUUGCACCGCCGCACCUUGCAGUCGUCUUGGAUUGGCACUGCUUCUGCAACAUUCACAGCUAAGAUAAAGCAGAAUAACGAGUAAAUUAACAUUGUUCUUACUAACUUGUGAGCCCCUGAAGUGAAACGGGCUUUAAAUAGUUUCAUUGACAUAGGUGGUUCAGCCCUUGAGAGUUCCAAUUAUGCACGCAACGCAGCUGCUGCUUUACUACAUAGCUUUGUCUCGUUUAACAGGGUCUUCAACUCUUCGUCCUCUCUUUGUCCUCUUUUAUGAGUAAAUGUUGGACAUGUUUGAUUGUUAGCAACCCUUUCUAACCUUGUUACUAAUUUUCUUUUAUUCCCGUUAGUUGUAGUAAAAUUUGAGGAAAAAACACUGAACAUGAGAAUGAAUACCGAUUUGCUGUUGUGAUCAUAGUGGGGUCAGCUUGACUGACUUUUGUUUUUCCACCUUCGUUUCACUACAUUUUGUUUGGUAUGACUAAGAAGUUGACUGACUUUUAUGGGUUCUUUUUAAUGUCUAUCGUUUCUUUUCUAAUGUAGGUGGUUUUUUUCUCACUUUCCUUUUUCUAAUUUAUCUUUUAUUUUUGGAUUUUAAUUAAAAAUGGCAAAACUCGAAUCAUAUGUUUUUAAAUUACUUAUUUUAGAUACAACAAAUUUUUUAAAAGUGGAUACAGGACAAAAUGAGAUGAUUUUUUUCACAUGAGUAUGAAACAAUUAUAGUCCCUAUCUCGAAAUAAUCUUUUACCUUUCUUUGUAUAUAAUUAUUAAAAUGAUAAAAAUGUAAUAAUAUAUUAUAGGAAAAAAUUCAUAUGUUUUAUAUUUAUAUUUUUAAAAAAUUAUGUUUAAAUGCUUACUUGUCUUAAAAAAAAGUAAAAUUAUUAAAAUAACUAGAAAUAAAAAUUAAAUUAAAGCAGAGCGAAACAAGGUGAGAUGGGAUGGGGAUGAAUGCUUUUAAUAUAUAUGCUGUGAUAGCGAUUUUUCAGAUUAUACAUUCCAAGUGGGGCGAGGCGGGUGGUGGAGUAAAGCAUGUCAACUGUGGAGCGAUGAUGGAUUUGACAACAUUUAACCUGUCUUGCUCCAUUGCAUGAUGCUUAAUAGGGUCUUCUUUUUUUAUUAAAUCAUCACAAUCAAUUUUGUAUUGAUACUGUUCAGAUCAACCAAAUCGAUUCAUUUAAGUAAUAAACCGAAACAAUAAAAUCUGCGGAUUAAAGCCUGUAAUCAAUGUGCACAGUAUCGCCCAAUGAGGUCAAUUGAUCAAAUGGGGCUCUUUUAACCCACUUGAAUUGGCAUGAUUAAUGGAACACAUGGAGAAGCCCAUCCACUUGAAGCAUUGGUGGCUUAGUGAAAUACUUUAGUAAAACUAGAGUUACCAUGGUGAAUAUUUGUAAUCCUAAGGGAUUAGAUUGUAUAGAGCUUAAAUCCCUUCGAACUCUCAUUUGUAGAUAGGUUUUAAUCUUGAUUGUUGAUGUAAUUUAAAUUGAGUUGUUGCAUCAGAGAGAUCUCAACUAUAAAUAAAGGUUUCCCCCUUCAUUUGCAAUCACUCAAUGUUUUUUCACUCAAAGUUACUAAAUAUAAUUGAGAGCAUUUACUCAAACAUACAUUACUUUCUUGUGGUUUCUCUAGUUCUUUCAUUGCUUCUUCACUUUUGUGUUUGCUUCCGCUAAGUUUUGGUGCCUUAGAGAAUUUCCUUGUGAUUUCUUACUUUUUGAGAUUUAGGUGGACUUAGGCGAAUUUAAAGCUAAGUUCUUGCCCAAUGUUGCACAGUUUGCCAGACUAAAGUUCUAGCCUUGUGACAGUUGGUAUCAAGAGCUAGUGAUUGGUAAGGCGUUAAUUGAGAUGGAGAAAGAAGUAAAUAAUCAAGAGCUCGUGACCGUUGGCAUCACGAACUAGUGUUUGGGUAGGAAAGCUAGUAGAUCAAGGGAUAUAUUGUUAGGUUUGGAAGGUUGAGUGACCAACUUCAAGGAAUUCAUGGGUGGCAUGAAGGAAACACUCAAAGUAGUUAAGGGACACACCACAGAGCUGGACUUAGUGAAAGAGUAACUCAAGGGAUAGGUGGCAGAGGCUCUCAGUACUAGUGUGGACGCACUGCAAGGGGUUCUCAAUACCUCUGUGGGUAAGUUGACAAAGAGAGGUGAUACUCUUAAGGACGUGGUGACAAAUUUGAAGGAACAAAUUGAAUAUUUCAAGAAGGAGCUUGUUAUCUGUAAAAUUGCUUUAGGUAAUGACGUGUUGGCUACGAUACCCAAGCCUAAGGUCGAUACCUUCAAGCCGAAAGAAUUUAAGGGGAUGAGAUCCGAAAUAGAUGUGAAUAACUUUUUAUAAGGAAUGGAAUAAAACCUUCGUGCUAGAGGCAUCAAAGAUGCUGCUACUAAGGUAAAUAUUGCAUCUAUUGUAACAGCUCGAUUUAUGGGUCUAGUCAGAGCAGUGGUUUCGGGACCACAAAUCCGAAGUUAAAAUUCUUAUUUUAUUAUUUUAAUAUCUACAGUAUGAUAUUAUUAUUGUGUAAAAAUUUCGUGAAGAAAUUUUAUCAAUUGGGUGCUUAAUUUGAUAAAAAGGACUAAAUCGCGUAAAGUGCGAAAGUUGCAUUCUAUAUGUAAAGGUGUCUAAUAGCUAUAGAAUUUUAAAUUGAAGGUCCUUAUGUGAUAAAUAACCCAUUAUUGAGAUAUUGGAUGUUAUUAGAGUGGCAUUUGGUGUAGUUAUUAGGGUUAUUAAAGGUUAAAUGAGUAAAACGACAUUAUAUGUUAAAUUAAAUAAAACAAAUUGUGUCAUCUUCUUUCACUAUCCAUCUUCACCAAAAUUUCAACCUAAAAUCAGCCAUGGGAGAGCUUGUUAUUCUGCCAAACUUUGAAGACAAAUUGGUGAGUGGUUUUUGCUUGGUUUUUAAUAAUUUCUAUAUUUUUGAUAUCGUUGCUUCGUAAUCUAGCUAACCCGUACCUCCGUUUCUAAAACUGUUAAAGAUUUUUUGAAUUUCCAUUGUUGAAUACUUGAGCUCUUUGAUAUUUUUUGAUGAAAUAUGAAUAUUUUAUGUUAGAUUUUCAUCUUUUAUAAAGUGAUUUUUGAUAAAAAUGUCAAUUAGGGAUUAAAUUGUGAAAUGUGGAAAUUUAGUGGUUAAAAUGUGAAAUAAAUUGAAAAUAUGGGCUGCUAGUGAUAUAUGGAAAAUUCAGCUAGCUUGGAUUUGUGUUUAAUUUCAUAAAAUUGUGAUUUUAUGUUAUAAGGACUAAAUUAUAAAAAUGUGAAAUUAUAGGGGUAAAAGUGUAAAUAUUCUUUAAGGUAAAUUUUGGAUUAAAUUUAAUUGAGAGAUAAUUAAAUAAGCUUAUUUUGAUUAUAUUUAGAUCGAGAAAAGUGAAAUACGGAUCUAGAUUGGGGAAAAGAUAAAGUAUCGGACCAGUCAAUUCGUUCCGUCGUUUUAGCAAUCGAGGUAAGUUCGUGUAAUCAAACUUCAGUGUAUAUUUAGGUAAUUGAUGAAUGAUAGUAUGAAUUUAUUCAUAUAAUCAAUUUAAUUAUGGAGCUUAAAUUAAACGUUCGAUAUAAGUAAAAAUGUAGGAUCAAACACAAUCGUUUCGCAACGAAAGACGAAUUGGCAGAAAAAACCAUGGUUGGACCAUGGCAUUACAUGAUUUCGUAUAAGACCAUAGCUGGGCUAUGACAUCGAUAUAUGAGACUUUGUGUAAGACCAUAUCUAGGAUAUGGCAUCGAUAUAUGUGAUUACGUGUAAGACCAUAUCUGGAACAUUGGCAUCGAUAUAUGAUUCGUGUAAGACCAUAGCUGGGCUAUUGGCACCGAUAUGUGAUAACAUGUAAGACCAUAUGUGGGAUAUGGAAUUGUAUGUGAUAUACGAGACUUUCGAGUAUCCUUAACGAUUAUGAAUGGUUCGUCACGCAAAGUUAAGACAAGAAUGAAAGUUCAAUUGAAUUAAGCAAAACAGGUACGUUCAGAACCUAUGUGAGAGUUAAAUGAAGGUAAUUUAAUGAGAAUUAUUAGUGUAUAAUUAUAUUUUAUGCCAAAAUGUGUUUAUUUGGCUAUAGUGAGGUAUGAAUUGAAUGAUAUGUGUGAUAUGAGCAAUGAUUGUGUUAAUUAUAUGAAUAUGGCACAUUGAGUGAGAAUUACAAUUAUUUAACGAUAAUUUACAUGAUUCUUUCGGCUAAAGAAAUGUGAUGAAUAAUGGAUCAAAUAAAGUUAUACAUUGUUGCUUAUGUAUUUGUAAAUGAGAAUGAAGUGAUAAGAAGUUUAAGAGGCAUACGAGCUUUGAAAGGAAUAAACUCGUGGAAAUCUUGUUUGAUCAUAUGCAUGAAUAUGAGGUAGAAUUGUGAAAUCAAAUGAGUUAUAUUAUGACUUGAUGCAAUUGCUUGUAAUGUGGUUAUUUAGUAAUAAGAGUUAUGAUAUUACAAGCUUACUAAGCUUUAUAGCUUACCUGGUGUUAUUUUUUUAUGUUUUACAGUGUUUGGGACGUUCGCUCGGGUUGGAAGUCGACAGAGAUUGCAUCACACUAUCCAGCUAAUAAUUUCGGUAUUUAUAUACUUUGUGACUUGGUUAUAUGGCAUGUAUAUGCUAUGGUUAUUUUGGUUUACUAUGGAAAGUGUAUUUGGCCAUAUGGUUUGGCUUGUUUUAAGUAUGUAUUUGAUUAUUUUGUAUAGGCUAGUUUUUAAUAUGUUUGGUUUUGAUGAUAUGUAUAUAUUCAGCCAUGCAAAAAUGGCAUGAUUAUAAUGCUAAUGGUUGUGUAAAUUUGAUCAUGGUAUAAGCACAUUUCUGUAAGUAUGUCCCUUGACAUGUAUGAAUGGUGUUCUGGUUAUAUGUCUUGGUUGAGUAAUGAUAUGAAUGACUUAUAAAUAGCUCAUUUAGUAAGCUUGAUACAUGAUUUAAUUUGUAUUUGUGAUUGGUCUUGUGAUUUGGGUUGGAAUGGUUAAGUAGGCAUAUGUGGUAUGCUUGUUUGAGUGAGUUUUUAGGUACAGCUCAUGAUGGAAAUGGUAUGAAUUUUUGGAGGCUAAUUUGAUGAUCAAAUAUAGGAUUAAAUGAUUUAGUUGUGUAUAUGAAAUUUUGGCAUGGUACAUAGUAUAUGAAAUUGGCAUGUUUAAAUUGUAACAGCCCGAUUUUGGGUCUAGUUGGAACAGUGUUUUCGGGACCACAAAUUCGACGAGGAAAAAUGUAAUGGCCUGAAUUUUUAGGGGUGUCGGAACGGUGAUUCGAGAUCACUAAAUCCAAAAAAAUGAGUAGAAAAUAUUAUUAAUUUAGUGAGUAUAAGUAAAUGUGAAGUUAAGAAAAUUUUUGAAAUAGUGAAUAGUGCACUAGAAAUAAAUAUUAAAAUAAUUAGAAUAAAAAAACGAGGUAUCGAGACCUCAGAGAUUUUAAACCGAGCCAUAAAUAUUUUUAUAAAUAUUUAUGGAGUGUUAAAAAGUUAGUAUUAAAUUUUCGUUAAGAAAUUUUAAAGUUUCGAUAAUUAAUUGAACAAAAAUGACUAAAUUGUAACAAAUGCAAAAUUAUAGGAAAUGAUUAAAUAGCUUAAAUGAUAAAAGGAAGAGGGCUUAAAAAGCAAAUAGACCCAAUGUCUGGACGUCAAAGGCAUGAAAUCAACAAGAAAGUAAGGAGAAUUAAGGGCAAAAUUGGAAUACUACAAAAUUACUUAAUAAAGCUAGGAUCAAAGUGGAAUUAUCUAGAUUUCUCUUUAUUUUUCUGCAUUCUCAUCAGCUAAAACACCAUAGAAGGGUUUCCUUAAGUUGGUUUUUCAUAUUUUUACUGCAAGUAAGUUCAAUUCUUGAUUAUUUCUUGAAAUUUUUGUGUUUUUGUGACUUUUACAACUAGGCCCACUUGUUGAAUUCAUUAGUUUUUGAUUCUAUGAAAGAAGUUGAAAGUUGCUAUGAAUAUGUGCUGGAAGUAUAUGAUGAUUUAGCAUGGAAUUAGAGCUUUAAAUUGUUUCUAUGCUGAUUUUAUUGAAAGAAUUGAAUAAAAAGUGAAUAUUUGGGACCUAAUAGUAAAAGAGUUUGAAGUUAGGGUUUUAUGAGGAAAUUCUGAAUUUCAAUAGUUAUGAAUAACUUAUAAUGUCUAAGUAAAGUACUAAUUGAGAAAAAUUAGCUUAAUUGAGGGGUUAAUUAAACAAUGACUGAAUUGUAUGAAUUGUAAAUUUUGAAAUAUAAUAAAUUUUGUGAGACAAGGUCAGAAUGAUUUCGGGUUCCCCUGUUCUGACUUUGGAAAAUCAUCAAAAAUUUAAGAAAAAUAAUUAGGGGCUUAAAUUUAUAUAUUUAAAAUCCUGAAUAAGUCUAUUUUCAAGAGAAACAAACGGAAACAUCAUCCGAAUCCCGUAAGAGGAAAUAAUUAUUUUUUAGUGAAGAAGGGUCGGAACUGUCUAAUAGUGAAACAGGGGAGAAUUUAAAGAAUAAACUGUACUUAUUGGCUAAGCCAAAAAUUCUAAAACUUUUAUGGUAAAAAUAUAUAUGAGUCUAGUUUCUGGGAAAAUUAACGGAUCUUAAUUUGGAGUUUCGUAGCUCAAGAUAUAAAUAAUUUAGUGACUCUGACUCGGAUAGACAGCUUUGAAUUUACUUAUAAGUAAAUAGUGAAAAUGUAGUUAAUGUUAUUUAAGUGUGUUAUAUACAUUAAAGAUGUGAAAUAGAGAGGAGGAGGAGGAAAAUUAGAAAAUAUAUGAAUGACUUGUGUAUAAAUCGGUCAUAUAUUCGAUCAUAAUCGAUAAAUGUUGAAUUAGAAAUGAUGUAAUGUUUUAUUUCAAAUAGUUACUAUGAGAUUGAUGAUGAUCUGACUUUAGCUAAAUUAAAAGCUAAAGCGAUAUUUUCAUUGCAAAAUUAAUAAUUUUAUAAAUGUGUUAAUGAAUAGCAUAAUCGAUAAAUUUGAGUUAAAUGGUAAAUACGUAUUAGUAUUGAACUUAAUGAUAUUGAAUUGUAUGAGAAGUAAAUGGAAAUUUCUAUUGCUAGUGAUAUGAUUUUAAUUAAAAGAAUUAUUGUGAUAUUAAAAUGUAUAUUGGAUUGAGAAAUUGAUUUGAAUUGUGAACAUGAGAAAUUAUGAAUUGAAUGAAAUGGAAAUGAAGCAUUAAAUUGUUAAGACUUGUGAAUUGCAUGAAUAUAAAUCGAGUCUCGUAGGCCCUAUUUAUUAUGAAUAUAAUAUUUAGAGGAUAUAUUGUGAAGAAUUAUAAAAGCAUGUUAAAAAUUUAAAAGUUUUAAUUUAGAUGAAAUUUUAUAAUAUGGUUAAAUACGUUUACAAGUGUAUGUGUUCUAGUAAUGCAUCACACCCUAUUCCGGCGACGGAUACGGGUAAGGGGUGUUGCAUAAAUUCAGUUAUUUUACUUAGAAAAUUACUAAAGUUAGUCGAGUAAGUAGUGUAUGGAUUGGUUAUACUUACAAUUGAGAUUCGAUCAUUUGGGUAAUGCUUGUAGGCAUUUGUAUAAUUUUGCCCAUUUUGCAGCAUAGUAUAGUUCAACUUAAGCUAGUAUGUGCAUGUACAAAGCUCAUAACUAAUAUAUUUGAUAUUAGUUAAUAUUAUGAAUUGAUAUGGCUAGUUGUGGCUUAAAUAUGCACACGUGGGAAAGCUUAUAGAAAGGAUGUAUUGUUGUAAGCUAAGUAUAUGAAAGUGACAUAUGAUUGAUACUUAUUUAGGUAUCUAAAUGCCUUAUUAUAUAGUCAUAAGGUUCGACUAAUAGAAUUAUAAUGUAUAUGUAUUAUGAUAUGAUGUUUUAUAAUAGUAAAAUAUGUUUGGUUAGUUGGUUAAGUGGUACACAUGUAUGAUUGUUAUAGAUUGAUGACCAUAUGGUUUGAAUUUGGUAAUUAUGGAACUAGUUCAAUUUGGUUUUUCGUAAGUUACCUUGAUGAAAAAUUUGAUUUGGUAAUCGGAAUGAAAUUGGUUGAAUUUUGAUAUAUGCUUUAUUUGUGAUAUAUGACUAUUAAAGUAUGAUUGAUUUGGAUUGGCUUUAUGAUUCAUAUGUUCGAAUUUAGUAUAAAUGAUUUGUGGACAUUCAAGUUUAAUAAUGUUAUAAUUGUAUCUUGAUAAUUCGGUACAUGAAAGUAAAAUAUGACUUUGAUGUAUGUUAGUUAAUAUUACUUAUUGUAUGUUUAGAAAUGAAUGACUCUCUGAGCUGUAUUUUGAUUGGUAAUGCCUCGUAACCCUAAUCUAGUGAUGGAUACGAGUUAGGGGUGUUACAUCUAUGUAUUUUAUUGAUGUCGCUCUUUUAUAGUGACAUUGUAGGUCCACAGAUGAGAAACAAGGUGGAGCCACAAUUGGGACUUGGGAGGAGUUUCAAAAAGAAUUCAAGGGGCAAUUUUACCGAGAAUAUGUCGAGGAUGAGGCUCAGGUUAAGUUGCGUCGACUUACGUAACAAGGCAUAAUCAGGGAGUAUAUGAAGGAGUUUAGUGGAUCAUGUUCUAUAUUUUUUAUUUGGGUGAGAAAAAGACAUUUUUCUCCCUUAUGGAUAGGCUGAAACCUUGGGCGGAGCAACAAUUGCAACGUCGAGCAGUCAAAGAACUUAUCAAAGCAAUGAUCGUAGCAAAGUCCUUAAUUAAGUUUGUUCCGAGGAAAGACGAGUUCAAGUCUUCCAAGACCAAUGAGACGGGUAAUGUUGUGGGAGACAAAGAAUGACAUGUUAAAAAUGACAAUGGUGAAAAUGGUGGUAAUGAGAAACUACAAAAUAAGAAGUGAAUCCGGAAGGCCCCUAUAUUAUAGGGAUUAUAUCAAAUUAGUCUCUCUAUAAAUGUACAAUUUAGUCAAAAAGAAUCAAAUAAGCCUUAAUUGUAAUAGAGUGAUCUAUCAAGUAUAGUCACCUUUUCUAAAACCAUUAGUUUGAAGUCAUUUUCAUUCUCUCUUCUUGAUAUGUCUUCUUGUUUUUUUUAAUUAUUUUGAAGGAUUAUCUUCAAUCCCAACCUUUAUUUUUUAAAUGUCUUCUUUUUGGUUAUUAUAAAAAAUCAUCUUCAAUCACAAUCAAAUUGGAAUCUUCAUUCUUUUUAAAAUUUUUGAGGUAACUAAUAGUCCUUAAACUUCUUCAAGCUUUUGUAACACCCCUUAAAUUUUACAGUAUGGUAAACAACACUAUUCUAAGAAUCACUACAAUGAAUUUUUGAGAAAAUUCAAUAAUGAGAAAAUAAAGAGAGUUUUUAGAAGGGACUAUAAUUAUUUAUUUUUGGAAAUCAAUGAAGUAAAUUUGGUAUGUGGAAUUGUGAAAAAAAUGACUAAAUUGUAAAAUUAAGAAAGUAAGAGAACUAAAGUAUAAAGUAACUAAUUUGAGAAAUUAUGGAUUGAUAAUGAUUUGUAAAUAUUAAGCCGACAUGAGACAUGUAUUAUCAAGGAAAAGCAAGUUUGGACUUAAUUGAAUAAAAUGAAAAGUAUAGGGCUCAAAUUACAAACUUCUCAUUUUGACUAGAAUAUAGGUAAAAGUAUCAUUUUCACCAUUUAUGGACUUAUUUAAGGGAUAUAUUUGAAUUUUGAUUUUUUGUUUGGAUAAGUGCUCAUUGUUGUAAAGAAAUUGUACAAAUAAACAAAAAGAAUAAUAUGAUAAGUUUGCCAUAAUCGGAUACUUUAGUCAUUUAUCAAGUACUUUACGAUGGAAAUAUUAUUUUAUUGGUAUUUUUAAUGUAUGGAAUUAAUUUGAAUUUUUAUGAUGAUAUGAGAGAAGAUAUAAAGUGUUAAGUGUCAUAUUUGGUAUUAAUUAAAGAGAAGUGAUAAGAGAAGGGACAAAGGUACAAUUUUACCAUUAAAAAUAUAUUUUGGGACUUAUCAUGAAUAUUUUAAUGAAAUUAUGGACUUUAUUUUAAUUGUGUUAUUAUGAGAAAAUUUAUGGUCAUAUAUUCCGGAUUUUUCAUUCAUGAAUCAAGGUAGAUUACUUGAGGUGAAUCUAGGGAGGCUGGCAGGGGCCCCGACCUCCCCUAAAAUGAAAAAUUGUUGUUUUAGCCUUUUAGAAAAUUUUAAAAUUUUAAAUUAAUAAAUAUAAAAUUGCACUUUUGGUGCCUCCUAAAAUUAUAAAAAUUUAAUUUAAUCCUUUAAAAAUUAUAAAGAUAUAGACUAUUAAAAAUUAAAAUUUCAUUUCGGCUCUCCCUAAUUUUUUUUUUUGGUUUCACCUAUGUAGACUACCCAUUUAAAAAUUUGUUUGACUUUGACUAAUCAAAUUAUGAUUUUUUUCCUCUCAUGUGUCGUCCCUCUCUCCUUAAGAAUUGAAAAUAUAUGUCGAAUAAUAUAAAUAUGAAAAUUGCCUCAACCUACUGCAAUUAUCUAAGGAGUAACCACUUCCUCAAGCACUCAUCUAAUUUUUCUAUAAUUUUCAGUAACUUCAAUAACUUCAAAUAUUUGUUGAGGUUUAGGAUGAAUAUUGUGAAGUGUUUUUUUAGGGAUAAUGAAUACAAAGCAAUUUAUGAGAAAAAAUGGAAUAUUACAACAAACACCUAAAAACAGAAACAAAUGUUGGCUAGAAAAUAUAAAAGUUUAAGCCAAUCGAGUCUUAGCUCGAUUGGUAUAGGUAUGUUGACAAUGCAGGAAGACGUGAGUUCGAGUGCGAUGAAAUGCAUUAUCUUCCUAUUUAUGGGUUGGGAUAGGACUAUGAGUAGUUCUAGAUAUUGUGUCAAAAAGAGCAGAUAUGAUCAGAACUUAUAAUGAGAUUGUUCAAAAAAAAGAAUUUUAUCGGGUGUUAGUAUAAGUGGCAUAAAACCAGUGAAUAGAGUUAACAAUUGAACCUGAAUUUUAAAUUUUAAAAAAUACAAGUACUAAAUUCCUAAAAAUACAAAGACCAAGUUCUUAACUUUCAAAAAGUACAAGGACUAUAACCACAUUUUAACCUUUCAUUAAUUAAAGGUUUGUCAAAGUUGAAGCUUAAUUCAAUGAUCUAUGUUAUAAAAUAUAUCUUAACCCGGCCACCUUAAGCUUUUAUUAUGGUCUAUUAAUUUAUGUUCACGACCACCUUCAACUUUUUUAUGAUCCACUAAUUUACAAUCAUAAACUUAGACUUUCUUACAGUCUAUUGAUUUAUGAUCAUGACCUUUUACUUACGAGAUUUUAUUAAUCUCACGGUCCGCUAAUUUACGAUCAUGACAUUUUACUUACAAGAUUUUAUGAAUCUCGCAAUUAGCUGAUUUACGAUCACAAAAUUUAACUUUCUUAUAAUCCACUAAUUUACAAUCACAACAUUUUACUUACAAUUUGCAAUAGUCAAUAAAUUUUCGAGUUCAAACUUGCUUGGUAAACCCUUAGUUACAUGUAUGCGUGUAAAUUUAUCUCCAAAGACUCAAUUUAUAACUCUACUUCAAUAAGUUAGGAGACAAAUUGUUAUAAAAUAAUCUUAACCUGACCCAAGAUCCAAUUCAAAAUCCAAGCCGGAAGAAACCACCUUAUAUACAUUUCUAAAUACCCUCUUAAGAAUACCGACUCGAGAGAAUAUCUUUUAUCUUCCUCUUCACCCUAACAUAUUUUUUCUCCCUACCCCACCCAACCAGAAACUGUAACAACAAUCUAUAUUGUAAACUGGGAAUAUCAAAUUGCUCUAAUCAUGCAAAUAAGUUGUUAGUUUUAGUUGCCUUAAAACAACUUUUGUACCGAUAUUUAUAAAUUUAUUUAUAUUUUAUCUAUAAUAUACCAACAGAACUUUAUGGUGUUCAAGUAAAAGCACCAAGAAAAAUGCAAUCAAAUGUCUGACCCAACUCCAUCCCCAACCAGUGGUUAAACCAAAUCCUUCAGUUAGCAAUUCCAGAUUCAGACAAAACACACGACUGUGCUACGUCUUUCCUAACUCGACCACAAUCACACUAAUGUUGUCUUUGCUACCCCUAGACAUUGCGAGUUCAACCAACACCGCCGCUGCUUCAGAAGCGCGGUUUUGAUUCAAAACAUCAGCUGUUUUGCUCCUUAUUUGGCCGUUCAGACAUCGCCUUACCACUCGACACGCCACCUCAUUCGAUACCACAUCCCAAAGUCCGUCACUAGCCAGUAUCAGGAACUCGUCACCAUUCGUUACCUCUCGUACGGUCACUUCCGGUUUGCAUAUCACAAAGGGUUUGAGGUACUGAUUACCUGCUUGCAUUCCAUUCCAAAUUACAUUACAUAUGAAUAGAAUAUUAUGUACGUAAUUGCAAAUAUAUUUGGUUACCUAUGGAUCUUGAAGUGGCCAGUACUCCAAGCACUCGAUAUCCAUUCCAGUUUAUGACCCUUCCACCAGCAGCUUCAACUCUCUCCAACUCAUCAGGCCUGUCGGGCUUUGCAAAAACAAAGUGUCAACAUGGGAGGCCACCACCACUACCUGCCCCUUUAUCUUCGUCCUUAAGCUCAGUAUAAUAUGCUAUUGAAUAAUUUUUUUUUUCAUUCCAAUAAAAUCCGUAGGACCAAGUUCUAUACUUAUAAAAGCUGUACAUCGCAAUAAUAACAGUUUGGAAGGAGCGACAAUAGAUAGUAUAUAAACAUAAUGAUUAAGCAUGCAUCAAUAUAGGUCAAAGUAGAGGCAAAGAAAACAAGUGUAAAGAAAAAGGGGGCAAAUUGAAAGAGUUGUAAAGUUAAAUUAGUAUAUAAAUAUAAGCAUCAUCCUUGAUUACCCUAAAGGGAUGGCGAGCUUAAUCCUCUUAUUGCUAAUUAGACAUUAUUUGUGGAAAACGAAGAGCUUCAGUCUAGCUUUGAGAUUCAGAUACUUCCACUCAUUUCCCAUAUAUAUGAAGUUACACCUCCAUCGAAUUGAAGAUUUCAUGGUUUCAUAGUUUCCAAUUAAAUCUUUAAGAAUAUUCAACAGGUUGAGUCCAUAAUAAUUUUCAUCAGAAGCAAAAGCUAUAAUUUGGGAGCCAGGGGUGCUUAAGCAAGCGACUCUAUAUCUUUUAUACAAAGCCUUCUCUUGGCUUAAACAUUCGAACAAGGUAUAGUUGGAUUCAGCUGGUUGGGAUCUAUAAUCUUUUAGGCCGCUGAAACUUGGUUGUUCCUCCGCGAAUGGAAAGGCAGAUAAAUUGAGAUCUAAAAGCUGCUGCCAGAGGCAACGGCCGGGAACGUAGAAGUCAAUCCGUUGAGCUUCAUAAUCUAUGUGCUUCACCAAUAGCUUCAGCGAACGUGGUAUCUUCAGCAGGGUCUGUUUGUUUUCUGAGCAGGAAAGCUGAAACCCAGGAUGAGGAUAGCCGCAGUGGGGAGACUGCUGGCCUUCUAAACGGAAGGGGAAACGGACAGGUGGAUCCUGGUGGUUGCACCGCCGCACCUUGCAGUCGUCUUGGAUUGGCACUGCUUCUGCAACAUUCACAGCUAAGAUAAAGCAGAAUAACGAGUAAAUUAACAUUGUUCUUACUAACUUGUGAGCCCCUGAAGUGAAACGGGCUUUAAAUAGUUUCAUUGACAUAGGUGGUUCAGCCCUUGAGAGUUCCAAUUAUGCACGCAACGCAGCUGCUGCUUUACUACAUAGCUUUGUCUCGUUUAACAGGGUCUUCAACUCUUCGUCCUCUCUUUGUCCUCUUUUAUGAGUAAAUGUUGGACAUGUUUGAUUGUUAGCAACCCUUUCUAACCUUGUUACUAAUUUUCUUUUAUUCCCGUUAGUUGUAGUAAAAUUUGAGGAAAAAACACUGAACAUGAGAAUGACUACCGAUUUGCUGUUGUGAUCAUAGUGGGGUCAGCUUGACUGACUUUUGUUUUUCCACCUUCGUUUCACUACAUUUUGUUUGGUAUGACUAAGAAGUUGACUGACUUUUAUGGGUUCUUUUUAAUGUCUAUCGUUUCCUUUCCAAUGUAGGUGGUUUUUUUAUCACUUUCUUUUUUUUCUAAUUUAUCUUUUAUUUUUGGAUUUUAAUUAAAAAUGGCAAAACUCGAAUCAUAUGUUUUUAAAUUACUUCUUUUAGAUACAACAAAUUUUUUAGAAGUGGAUACAAGACAAUGAGAUGAUUUUUUCCACAUGAGUAUGAAACAAUUAUAGGCAUUGUUUGCUCUACUCACCUUAUCUCGAAAUAAUCUUUUACCUUUCUUUGUAUAUAAUUAUUAAAAUGAUAAAAAUGUAAUAAUAUAUUAUAGGAAAAAUUCAUAUGUUUUAUAUUUAUAUUUUUAAAAAAUUAUGUUUAAAUAUUUUCUUGUCUUAAAAAAAGUAAAAUUAUUAAAAUAACUAGAAAUAAAAAUUAAAUUAAAGUAGAGCGAAGAAAGGUGAGAUGGGAUGGGGAUGAAUGCUUCUAAUAUCUAUGCGGUUAUAGUAAUUUUUCAGAUUAUACAUCCAAAGUGGAGAGAGGUGGGUGGUGGAGUAAAGCAUGUCAACUGUGGAGCGAUGAUGGAUUUGACAACAUUUAACCUGUCUUGCUCCAUUGCAUAAUGCUUAAUAGUAUGCCUUCUUUUUUUAUUAAAUCAUUACAAUCAAUUUUGAAUUGAUACUGUUCAGAUAAACCAAAUAGUUUCAUUUAAGUGAUAAAUCGAAACAAUAAAAUCUGUGGAUCAAAGUCUAUAAUCAAUGUGCAUAGUAUCGCCCAAUUGAUCAAAUAGGACUCUUUUAACCCUUUUAAAUUGGCAUGAGUCAUAGAACACAUGGAGAAGCCCAUCCACUUGAAGCAUUGGUGGCUCAGUGAAAUACUCCGGUAAAACUAGAGUUACCAUGGUGAAUAUUUGUAAUCCUAAGGGAUUAAAUUAUUAACUUAAUUGCAGAAAUACCAAAAUUCAAGAAUAUUUUAGUAAUUUUCUAUUUUCCUCGAAUUUCCACCCAAUCUUGAUCUAAAUUGAUAUUUCAUUCAAUUUAUUAACUUAAAUAAUAAAACAAUUCAUUUCAUGCAAUUUGGUCACUUUUUGACAUUUUUACCAAUUUACCCUUAAAAUAUUAUUUUUAUUCAAUUUAGUCCUUGAACCUAAAACAUGCAAAUUGGUUAUUUUUAAUUAAAACUCAUGCUAGUUGAACAAUCAUUUAUUUUCCUCCUCCUCCUCUCCAUUCCACAUCCUUAAUGUAUAAUAUGCUUAUAUGUAACAUUUCUAUAAUUCCACCAUUUAUUUAUAUAUUAAUUCAAAGCUAUCAACUUGAGUCAUAGUCACUAAAUCAUUUAUAUCUUUAGCUACGGAACUCCGAAUUAAGAUCCGCUAAAUUCCUAUGAAACUAGACUCGUAUAUCUUCUUACCAUAAAAUUUUAAGAAUUUUUGGUUUAGCCAAUAAGUACAGUUUAUUUUUUAAAUUUUUUCCUAUUUCACUGUUUGACAGUUCUGAACCCUCUUGACUAAAAAUUAAUUAUCUCUUUUUACAGAAUUUGGAUGAUAUUUCCGUUUUUUUCUAUUGAAAAUGGAACCAUUAAUUAUUUUAAAAAUAUAAAUUUAAGCCUAUAAUUAUUUUUAUUCAAUUUUUUAUGAUUUUUCAAAUUCAAAAUAGGGGAACCCGAAUUCAUUCUGACCUUGUCUCACAAAAUUUAUUAUAUCUCAUGAUUUACAAUUCCAUUACUUACACCGUUUAUUCUAUGAGAAACUACACUUAAUAAGCUUUAAUUCCAUGUUUUUUUCAUCCUAUAAUUCGAUUUCCAAAAUUUAUGGUGAUUUUUCAAAUUUAACCUACUGCUGCUGUCCAAAACUGUUUUAGUGCAAGAUGUUGAUUACUAAGUUUAUAACUCCCUUAUUCCCUUUCUCUAUAAUAUUUCCCAUCAUUUUCACUUAUUUCCCUUCACUAAUAUAUCAAGAACAUAAGACUUUAUUUAAGAAAACUCUACUAUAACAUCAUUUCCAUACUUUUUCAACAAUAACAAACUUAAAAAUAUAUUGAAAUCUUGAAGUUCUUACCUUGUGCUAUUGAUUUCAAUCUUUAACUUGAUUUUCUCUCUCCUCCAGCUUCUUUUUCUUGAAUCUAACUUGACAUUCUAGCUCCCCAUUGUCUCUUUAUUAUUUUUCUCUCUUGGAAGCUAUGGAAAUUCUUUUGUUUUCUAGGUGAAAAUAGUGAAUUUUUGGUGAAAGGACCAAAUUGUAAAGAAAGAAAAACUUUCUUUCUUCUCUUCUCUUCUAACGUUGGUUGCAUGGAAAGAUGAUGAUUUUUCAUCAUCUUUCCUCCCUUUUAUAUUAAUCAUCUAAUAAUAAAAUAAUACUAAAAAUCUUAAUAAAAUAUUAAUUAAAUAACAUUUAUCUAAUUAAUUAAUUAAAAAUAUCACAAACAUCAUCAUUACCUUCUAGAAUUCUCUCUCUAUUUGACCAUUUUGCCCUUUAUAAUCUUUUGAAAUUUCAUUCUUGAGUCAUCACUUAAUUUGGAAAAGUUACAAUUUAGUCCCUCAAAGUUCCUCACUUUUUCAAUUUGGUCCUAAUUCAUCCAUUUUCCUUAGUUUCUAGAUUAUUCCACCCUUAAAAUAUUUACACUAUUUGUCCUUCAAAUUUUUCAUAUUUACACUUCAACCCCUUAAAUUUUGAGUAUUUACUCUUGGGCAACAAAACUUUUCUCACGUUUGCAAUUUAAUCCUUUAUUGAAUUAAUAUAUCAUAAUAUACUUCCCAAUGUUGACAUAACUCAAUAUUACCUUUUUUAUCACUUUAUUUCCUUAUUUUACUAUAUCAAUGAUAUUAUCUUACUUUAUUACUGUAGUAAAUUUCGGGGUAUUACACAGGGAGUAUAUGAAGGAGUUCAGUGGAUCAUGUUCCAUAUUUUUUAAUUGGGUGAGAAAGAGACAUUUUUCUCCCUUAUAGAUAGGUUGAAACCUUGGGCGAAGCAACAUUUGCAACGUCGAGGGGUCAAAGAUCUUACCAAAGCAAUGAUCGUGGUGGAGUCCUUAAUUAAGCUUGUUCCAAGGAAAGAAAAGUUUGAGUCUUCCAAGACCAAUGAGAUGGGUAUUGUUGUGGGAGACGAAGAAGGACAUGUUAAAAAUGACAAUGGUGAAAAUGGUGGUAAUGAGAAACUGCAUAAUGAGAACUGAAUCUAGGAGGCCCUUGUAUUAUAGGGAUUAGAUCAAAUUAGUCUCUCUAAAAAUGUACAAUAUAGCCAAAAAGAAUCAAAUAAGUCUUAAUUGUAAUAGAGUGAUCUAUACAGUCACCUUUUCUAAAACCAUUAGUUUGAAGUCAUUUAAUUAUUCUGAAGGAUUAUCUUCAAUCCCAACCUUUUUUAUUUUGAAAUGUCUUUUUUUUUGUUAUUAGAAAAUUCAUCUUUAAUCACAAUCAAAUUGGAAUAUUCAUUCUUUUUAAAACUUUGAGGUAAUUAAUAGUCCUUAAACUUCUUCAAGCAUUUGUAACACCCCUUAAAUUUUACAGUAUGGUAAACAACAUUAUUCUAAGAAUCACUACAAUGAAUUUUUGAGAAAAUUCAAUAAUGAGAAAGUAAAGAGAAUUUUUAGAAGGGACUAUAAUUAUUUAUUUUUGGAAAUCAAUGAAGUAAAUUUGGUAUGUGGAAUUGUGAAAAAAAUGACUAAAUUGUAAAAUUAGGAAAGUUUGAGAACUAAAGUAUAAAGUAACUAAUUUGAGAAAUUAUGGAUUGAUAAUGAUUUGUAAAUAUUAAGCCGACAUGAGACAUGUAUUAUCAAGGAAAAGCAAGUUUGGACUUAAUUGAAUAAAAUGAAAAGUAUAGUGCUCAAAUUACAUAUUUCCCAUUUUGACUAGAAUAUAGGUAAAAGUAUCAUUUUCACCAUUUAUGGACUUAAAGGGAUAUAUUUGAAAUUUGCUUUUUUUUUGGAUAAGUGCUCAUUGUUGUGAAGAAAUUGUACAAAUAAACAAAAAGAAUAAUAUGAUAAGUUUGCCAUAAUCGGAUACUUUAGUCAUUUAUCAAGUACUUUAUGUUGGAAGUAUUAUUUUAUUGAUAUUUUUAAUGCAUGGAAUUAAUUUGGAUUUUGAUGAUGAUAUGAGAAGAUAUAAAGCAUUAAGUGUCAUAUUUGGUAUUAAUUAAAGAGAAGUGAUAUAAUAGAAGGGACAAAAGGUACAAUUUUGCCAUUAAAAAUAUAUUUCUUGACUUAUCAUGAAUAUUUUAAUAAAAAUUAUGGACUUUAUUUUAAUUGUGUUAUUAUGAGAAAAUUUAUGGUCAUAUAUUUUAAAUUUUUUGUUCAUGAAACAAAGUGGACUACCAGAGGUGAAUCUAGGGGGGCUGGCAGAGGUCUUGACCUCCCUUAAAAUGGAAAAUUAUUGUUUUGGGCCUUUAGAAAAUUUUAAAAUUUUAAAUUAGUAAAUAUAAAAUUACACUUUUGUCCCCCUAAAAUUAUGAAAAUUUAAUUUAAUCCUUUAAAAAUUAUAAAGAUAUAGACUAUUAAAAACUAAAAUUUCAUUUCGGCUCCCCCUAAAAAUUUUUUUUGGCUUCACCCCUGUGGACUACCCAUUUAAAAAUUUGUUUGACUUUUGACUAAUCAAAUUGUGAUUUUUUUCCUCUCAUGUGCCGUCCCUCUCUCCUUAAGAAUUGAAAAUAUUUGUCGAAUAAUAAUAGAAAUAACAAAUCCUUCUUCGAGAUGUCCAGUGAUUUCUGUGUUCUUUUUUUUUAAUGAGAUAAAGGAAUUAAUCAAGAUGUGUGUGCAAGAAAUUGAAGAAUUUGGAAACAAGUGUAGAAGAAUUUUAGGAACAUUGUGGAGUAUUCAAUGAAAUUCUCAAGAGAAAAGAUAGACAUAUAUUGCCAAUCCAAUAAAAGUAAAAUGAGAUUCCGAAAAUGUUUAAUAAUGAAUCAUUUGUAAAGGAUGAAAGUGAAGUGAGAUUAUCUUGAAGUAGACAUUACGGAGGAAAUAGUACUCAUUAAAGCUAGAAAAAAAAAGUUAAGUGUUGAUCGUUGACACUAAGAAAGUGUAUCACAAAGGAAGUGCGAAGAAGAGAUACAAGUAUUCGAAGAUGGUAAUAAAGACUUACGAGGAUUGGAAAGUGAUAAUUAAUGGAAACCAUAUAAGAGAGGUGAAAUAUAACAUUCUAAAGCUUGACCUAGAAACCUAAUCGAAUUUGGAGUGUUAUUGUGGUCAUCAGAGCAACCUGCAUGAUCAAUCGUUCAUUCAAUCACAUUAAAAUAUAAAAAAAUUAGACAUACACACAACAAGUCAUUUAACAAAACUUAAUCAUAUAAUCAUUGAGUUCCUAAAUCAAAAUCAAAACACCCAAACUGACCAAUUAGCAAAUCCUAAGUACAUGUCAAACUAUACUAUUUCAAGGGUUUUUACAAAAUAAGAAUUGCGGAGACUCUGAGGCGAUGUCUGCUCUGACUCAAACUCACAAACUAUUUGAUCCAAAUAUUACCUAUGCACGGAAUUAAUAACCCGUACAUCGGGCUUUUCAGAGCUUGGUGGAGACCAAAACAGUCUAAACUACUAAUGCAUAUAAUUGAAAAUAAAAACAUUUUAAUCAAAUACAACUAUAUAUAUAUGCAAUAAUUCGAGGAGUGAAAGUCACACUCAAUAAAAAUUGUCAGAGACGCAAUACAAUCAUGAAUCAGUCACAAAAUAACAUUUAUGUAAUAGCCCAAUUUUGACCUUAAUCGGAUAUAGUGGUUUCGAAACCAUGAAUUCGAGUCAGAAAAAUAUUUUUUAUAUUAUUUUUAGUGUUUAUUAUAUUUUAAGUUAUAGGUGUGAAAAAUUCGUGUGGAAAUUUUAUUGUUUAAAGGUUCAAUUUGAUAAAAAAUGAUUUAAUCGCGUAAAAUAAAAAUUUAGAGGUUAAAUUUUAAAAGCACUUAUUUGUUGUUGUCUUUUUAAGUGGGAGGUCUAGAGAUGUAAUUAGACCAAAAUAUAGUUAGUGGAUGACAUAUGACAACAUUGUCCCUUACAUAUAUGUUUUAUAUAUUUAUUAUAAUAAGGUUAAUUAAGUAAUUUAAUAAUUAUAAUGUAUAAAUGUUAAAAUAAACUAAGAAAAGAUGAUUUUUAUCAUCUUUGAAAGCCGAAUGUGUAAGAGAACUCAUGCAUGGUUUCUUGUUGAAUGUUCGGCACUUUUAAAGACAAAUUAAGGUAUGGGUUGGUUUCAGUUUUUGAUAAUUUUUACGUUUUUGAGAUCGUUGUUUCGAAUACUAUCCGACCCAUGUUUGAAUUUUUAAUUUUGAUGAAUAUUUUGAGUUGUGCCAUUGAUGAACAUUUGUGUUAUGUGAUGUUUGAUGAUGAAUAAUGAAAGAUACAUUUUAGAUUAAUAUGUUUUGUAUUGGAAGUUUUGGUGAAAUUGAGUAAUUAGAGUUAAAUUGUGAAAUUAAAUUUUUGAGGGAUUAAAAUGUGAAAUAAAUGAAAUGUGAGGAUUGGUAUGAACAAUAGGUACAUUCGGCCCUUAAGGAGUGUAGUCAAAAUUUGUGUAUUUUGUGUUUUGAGCAAAAAGGAUUAAAUUGUAAAAAGUGUGAAAUGUUAGGGGCAAAAUUGUAAUUUGCCCAUAUAUAUGUUCUUAGACUAAUUGAAUGAAAAAAAAAUGUUUAAAUGAGAUUUUUUUGAAUAUGUUUAGAUCAAGAAACCAAGAAAUCGAAUUUAGAUCGGGGGAAAUCGAAAGUAGUUGAGUAGCCGAUCUAUUAGUCGACGACAUCCGAGGUAAGUUAUUAAGCAUAUAUAUAUAAUUGUGUAUUUUUAAAAUCAGCUUAGUAUUUAUGUAAUUAUGCUGAAUUGAAUGAUAUAUAAAUAUACAUGUAGUGAUAAAAUUAUUGAAAUAAGAUAUAUUGAGUUGUUGACUUUUGACACUAAGUGUGCGAAUUUAAUUGUAAAGCACUAAUUGUGCAAGUUUAAUUGAAAAGCACUAAGUGUGCGAGUUUAAUGGUAAAGCACUAAGUGUGCGAACUUAUUAAAUAUUUUCGAAUAACUAUUAGCAUUGAGUAUUUGUUUUUUUUUUUUUUGAGAAAUUAUGAUUAGUAAAAUGAGUAAAUACUUGGAAUUUUUGUGGUUGUAUUUAAGGUUAAGCUUUGUAGGUAUUAAACCUAUGUGGUGAUUAUAUUUGGAAUUAUAUAUAUAUAUAAUAUGAUUCUUUAUAUUACAUGGUGAGGAACUGCAUAAUGUAUUUGGUCUUGUGAUUAAAUUUGAAGAAAUGUUUAUGGUUAUGUAAUUAUAUUGAUUUAGUUAAAUCAUAGUAAUAAGUGAAUAAUUAUCUUAUGAUAUGGUAAGCUAAAGGUAAGAUGAUUUAGUAGUAUGAAUUGGUUGAAUAUUAUUUAAGAUAUCGGUUUAAAUAGUAGAGUUUAUUUGCUUAUAACUUACUAAGCUAAAUUAGCUUACAAUGUGUUGGAUAAUUGUUUUUUUUUUAUGUAUAGAUUUUGGUGAUUGCUACGUGUUCGGGGAUCGUCAGCUAAGUUCGUCACACUAUCGAUAUUUUCUUUUGGUACUUUACUAAAUCGUUUUCAAAUAUAUGGCAUGUAUAGCAUAGUUAAAAUAUUGAAUUUGGAACUAAUGUGUAUAUGUAUUUAAAAGCCAUGCGAAAGAGGCUUAUAUAUAUUUUUUUUUUUGGACUUGAAUUUGGUUUGGAUGCAUGUGUUUAAUGAUUAUGAGUGUGGUAUAUGCUUAUGGUAUUAUUAUAUGGAGGGAUUAUUUGUUCUUGGUAUAUAUAUAUAUUGGGCUACAAUGGAAUUAAUGAAUAGUUAAUUAAAGUUAGUUGCAAGAUGUGUACACGUAUGGUUGUGUAAAAAAAUGUGGAUUUCUAACUUAAAAAUGUGUGAGAGUAGAUAUUAAUAAGCAUGCUAUAUAUAUAUAUAUAUAUAUUCAUAUAUGUGCAUGGUAUGUUUGAUUUUGGUAUGUUAAGGGUUUGGCAUUGUAUAUAGGUAAUGACUUAAAAUAAGUCUAGUUCAUGACUAGCUGCUUAUUAAAUUAUGUUUAUAAUAAUUCGGUCUUAACUUAGCUCUGCUUUGAAAUUAUGUGAUAUGAUUUGAAUGGUUAUGUUUAAUUUGAUUUUAUAUGUGACUAUAAGAUUCGGCCAUGAUGUAAUAUUAUUAUGUAUGUAUGUAUAUAUAUAUAUAUAUUCAUUUGAUUAGUAAUAGAUAUACUUAUUAAUGCCGCAUAUGAAAUAGAGGAUAGGUUUUGUAACAUAUUUUGUUUAGUCCAUUAAGUACAUGUUUAUUAAUAAGCAUAAAGAUGAUAAAAAAAAUCAUUAUAUAUAUUUUUUAUACCAUUUUAAUGAUAAACACACGAUUCGUGUAUUUAUUUUGAAGCAUAAGUUGUAUGGAUUUAAGGCAUGAUUUUUUUUAAGGUGUAAAUAUGAUUAUAUUCAUGAGAUACUAUAUUUGUUUUGUGAUUAAUAAUGUAUGUAUAAUUUGUAAUUAGUCUCUUUUUUUUCAGUAAUACCUCAUAACCCUAAUCUGGCGACGGACACGGGUUAGGCGUGUUACAAUUUAAAAUAACAAUAAAACAAUAUAAGACAUUCAAUAAAUAUCGAUGGUGUUUUGAUUCAAUGUUCAAGUUCAUUAAAUAAUUUUUCUCAAAUAACACAAGAAGGAAAGAUAUUCGAACACACGAGUGUCCAACCAAACACCAAAUGAUCAAUGAAAUUAGUGCAAGUGCCAACAAUAACAAUAUUCCAUUGGGAGAUAAUGCAACUUAGUCUAUAAUCAACCAUCACACUAAAUGCACAAAACGCAACAAUGACAAUGCUCCUGAAUGCUUAAGACAGUUCCACAAUAAACAAUGAUGGAGAUUCCUCCACCUUACGAGAUGUGGCUUAUACCAAAACAUUUCAAUUAUUAAAAUAGUAAUUAACAAUGAUUUUCGGAACAUAACCAAUUAAUAAAAAUAACAUUUUAAAAAUAGUAACCAUAAUUAAAAUCAAUUUAAUAAACUGCCACACAAGUAAAAAUUCAUAUGCAAGGAAUCAAAAUAUCAGUCCACUAAGCCAAUAAUUUAAUUGCAACAUUAACAUAAUUUAAAACGUAACGAUUACAAACUAAUUUUUUAAAUGUUGGUUGCUUAGGAUCACAUGCACUAUAAACGUAAGGACCACCGUUGAAAGCCAUGCAAAAAUCUACAAUUUUAUAUUUAUAUGUGUAUAUAUACACAUAUACAUAUACACGUAAACACUAUAAAUCAUGCCAACCAUUAACAAAGCCAUGCAAAUAUUUAUAUUUAUAUAUUUCAUAUAUUUAUACAUUCACAUGCACAUAACUAAAUACGACAUCAUGCAAAUAUAGUUAUGUACAGAAUAUUGAUAUAUUAUCUCAUUAAUUUUAAAAAUAAACAACACCAAAAGACCAAGCUUUACACUACUCACACGACAUAACAUUGGUUUCACGAAUCCUCAAAGCACUACUCCCUCUGGGCUUUCUACGAUUUAACAGCAACCUGCUUUGUCUUUAUUUGGUUGUGGCUUCUAUGCAGAUUAGACGAGAGGCUUCAAUGGAUGAUAUAAAAGAGGUGGUGUUGGUCAGUGGUGGGCAGAGGUGGCCUGAUGUCGGUGCAAGGAGAUCAACGGUUAGGACCAGGGUGACUGUGGAGCGAUGAGAUGUUGGGGCGACGGAAGAACUCACGAUGGCGAUGAGAGGGCGGACAAUGGUGCAUUGAUGGAGAUGACUCCAAGGCAGCGUGAUGAAAGGGAGGGACGACUUGGGGCAGUUGGCUGACGGUGUGGCGACUAAGAGGAUCGGUGCUUAGUGAUGGAAUGAAGGAGACAAUGCCUGACGUUGGGGAGUGAAAGGUGGUAAUCAGUCUUUUAUUAGGGGUAGAAUUCUACAAAAGAAGGGUUUUGAUAGUAGGAAAGUUUGACCAAAUGUGUAUUCUUUCUUAGUUGUAACUCUGAAACCUAAUUGAUGAUGAUGAUGAUGAUGAUGAUAGAGCACACACGCCCAGGCCACCACUCUGUCAACUAAGUUGUUUAAGGGCUAAUUCCAAUAUUUGUCCCCAAUUAAUUGCUGAGGUUUCAAUUUAAUCCAUAAAUCAAGAUCAAAAUUCAAUUAGUCUUAAAAUUAAACUAAAAAAUCAAAUAAGUUCAUAAUACACAAAAAAUCACUAAAAAUAUAAAUUUUAUCCUAAUGUUCCAAAAUUCCGAAAAUAUAUUUAUCGAACUUAUCUCGAUUUUGUGUGAAAUCAUAGUUGGAAAUUUUGGAGUGUUUCACGAAAUUAUCCAUCAAAGUGCCUUAAGAAGUAGUAGUCGAGUAGUGCGUUGUUAAAAGUUCCUAGAAAGAUGUUAACAUUGGAUAUUAAAUGAGCAUCGUGGAUGGAAAAGAGGACAUCAAAAUACGAGUAUAGAGAUUUGUAGCUUGCUACCAGAGGCAAAGCUAGUUGCUGGUAGGGCUUGACCUCCCUUUAAAUGGAAUAAUUUCAUUUAUACUCUUAUAUAGUUUAUAAAAUUUUAAAUUAGUAAUAAAAAAAUUUAUACUUUGACCUCCUUUAAAAAUUAUAAAGAUAUUAUAAAAAUAUAUAAUUUAAUUUCACCCCUAAAACAAAUUUUUGGUUUCCCGGAUUAUAGAAAAGCUAUAAUCGUGUUAUGAAGUGAUAAUGGGUAAAUAAGUAUAAGAGAAAUGAGUUGAAAAGUAGGAAGAGAGAAGUAUGUAUUUGGUAUUGAGAUCAUAUGAGUUGGGAAGUUAAAUCGUGGGUUGACGUGAACGGAUAAGGCACGCAUUGGAUGUGUGGGAAGAGAUUUAAGUCAAGAAGAAAAGUGACAGUAAUUUGAAGUAAACAAUGAAGGUUAUGCACAUGCUCAAAAGGAAAAGUUAUGAUCAUUUGAUGGGGAUGAGUCAAGAUAAGAUAGCCAAUUAAAGGUGCAAAAUUAACCCAAGUUGAGAUGAAUAUGGUGAAUAUAAGCUUGUUAACCCAAGUUGAGUGACAUGUCAAGUUAUAACAAUCAAGUGAAAAUGAUUGAUGUGGUAUAUUAAAAUUAUAUGUUAGUGACAUAUAUGGUAUGGAAGACAUUAGAAGAUAAGAAACUUAUGAUUCGUGCUAAGGUUAAGAUUUAUAGAUAUUUGAUGAAUCAAAGGACAUCUUGUGCAAUGUGAAAGAUAAAGAGGGAAAUUUAUUUAGGGUUCAACAUUUAAGUGAAGCAAAUUAUAAGGUUGUGAAAACCGUUAAAAGGAUAAAAUGUAAAUUUUAGAAUAUAAAAAAAUUAAAUUGAAUUAAUGGAAAAAAAAAUGACAAAGAGGUAAUUUUUACUUAAUUUACUUUACUGAAAGUAAAUGGAUAAUUAUGGAAUUAGAGAAUAAAGAAAAUUGGGGAAAAAAGAAGGAGGAGGAGGAGAAGUGUUGUCAUGAUUAUGACCCUUGGAUAUUAUGGAAGAGGUGAAGAAAUAAUUGCAAUUGGAUAUUAAUUAUGAUGAUGGGAUUUUUAUUAAUGUUUUAAUUAUAUUAAUUGCUAUAUGGCCGUGUGUCAAGCCAUGUGGCUCAAAUGAACGUGUGGAAGAGGUCAGUCUAUGUGGCUCCUGUACUUGUUCUGAUUUUCGAUUCUUGAUAAGUGUCAAAAGUAACAUAUUUUAAUCUCAUUCUUAAUUCAUUUUUAGAUGAUUAAUCAAUGCAAAACGGUAAAAUUUAUGCUCAUAAUCCUUUAAAUUCAUAUUUCUAUACUUAUAAGAGCAUUUGAGAGAAAAAUUAGUGAAAACGAAGCGAAAAUCAAAAAAUUGGAGCAGAUUUCAAGAGCCACACGAGUUGGACACAUGGUCAUGUGAGCCACACGGGCUGCCACACGGCCAUGUGCCAGAUAGAGACACAUGGUCAUGUGAGCCACACGCCAUGUGCCAGAUAGAGGUGCUCAUGGGCCGGGCCCGGCCGGGUUCGGGCCGGGCCCAUAAAAAAUUUCGGCCCGGGUCCUAGGCCCGGCCCGACCCGGCCCGAAAUAUGGGCCUAAGAUUUUGCCCAGGCCCGGCCCGGGAAAAAAAUCAUAAGCCCGGGCCCGGCCCGUCCCAUUUUUAUUUUAAAAAUUUUAAAAAAAUUAAAAAAAGUAUUUUAAAAAUAUUUUAAAAUUAAAAAAAAAUUAAAAAAGUAUUUUGAAAAUAUUUUAAAAUUAAAAAAUUUUUAAAAAGUAUUUUAAAAAUAUUUUAAAAUUAAAAAAGUAUGUAAAAAAUAUUUUAAAAUAAAAAAAAAUAUUUAUUAUAUCGGGCAGGGCCGGGCCCGGGCCGAAAAAGUGGUGCCCGAGGCCCGGCCCAUUUUCUAAACGGGCCUCGUUUUUUUGCCCAAGCCCAUAUUUCGGGCCUAUAUUUUUACCCAAAUCCUCUCAUAUUUCGGGCGGGCCGUCGGGCCGAGCCGGGCCACCCGGCCCAUGAGCACCUCUAGUGCCAGACCGUGUGGAUUUCGCAUUUCACACUCCAAAUAUGUGGAAUCACGCAAUUUUUAAGUUUUUCGGGCAUUCUUAGACCUAUAUAUACCAAAUAUAUGGAGAGAAGUAAGAGCCGUCAGAGAAUAUUGAAGAAAACAACUCAAAAGACAUCAUUGAAGUCGACUUUGAAACAAAUUUCUACUAAGAUUGAAGAUCUCCUUUUGAUUUCUUUGAAGUUUAUUAUGAGUUUUUUUAUUUCUUGUGGUUAUACUGUCUUUGAGAUGUUUUUACUCUCGAUUAUGAACUAAUUUUCUAAAGAUGAACCUUAUGACAAAUUUUGUCUUUUGACUUCUAUUUUAUGCAAUGAAUAAUUAAAUCUUGUUCUCAGUUAUGUGUGCUAAAUUUUUUAUUUAAUAUUUUCAAAUUAUUAAUUCAUGUUUGAUAUGCUUAAUUCAGAGUAGAUCUAGCAUAAUUCAAUGGAGUUGCAUGUAAUCCUAGAAAUAGGACAACAUAAAUCUACCCUGUUAGAGUCAAAUCUAAUAGAAGAAUUCAUAAAUCGAGUCGGUACGAUAAUAGGGAUUUCAAUUAAUCCGUAAAUAUCCCAAAAUAAUAUUCGACUUAUACGAUACAUUUCUAAAGUUGCGAAAGAGUACCUUGGGUGCAAUAUGGCCCAUGGUACCUCUAACUGUUGUCAUUGAAAUAGCAUUUUGUUCCUUGGAACACAAUUUAGCAAGGCCUGAAUGGAGGAUACGUUACUAGCCUUGAUGCAGGUACUCGAUGCCUUUGGUUACACCGACAAUAAUAUCCUGAAGUUUUUCCCAACUAAGGGAUCGAUCCGUACCCUUAGCUUGCAAAUAUGAACUUCUUUAAUGACUCGUUUGGUAGGUAUUCAUAAAUGAGAACUCAGUCAUAUCCAUCGACACAAAACUCAACCAGGCAUGUCACAUUCACAUGGUGGAUUCUGCCCAUCGAACCCACCUCAUUGAUGAACUCUCAAUAUUUAACUAAAGUUUGCUUUUUUACUUUUUUUUUUAUUUUCAUUUUUAAGAAAAUGUUAUUUUAUUAAUUCAAUUAUCAAAAUUAUUAUUAUUUUAUUUAAAUUAGAUUAAUCCUCAUUUAAUUAUUACAAGUAUAUUAUUUUAAAAUUAUAAAAAUUAUUAUUUAAUAAUUAAACAAAUAAACAUUUAAAAUCACAUACAUUACAUUAAAAACUAGUAUAUCUAAAUAUAUAUUUUACCACUUAUUUUAAUCUUGUUAUUUUUAAUUUCAUCAAAAUUAUUAUAUAUCACUCGAGCCACUGCGACUGCUGACCGGUGAUUAUUGCCUGCAUAAUUUGAUGAAAGGUUCUGAAUUAAUACAUCCAAGACUUUUAUGAGCAUCGCCAUUGACUGACCGACGACUUGUAUGAAAGAAUUUUCCACGUACGUUAGCUUUAUUACUGGACUGAUUUUUCAAAGAAAGACUUGCUCUCAAUUGGAGCCAUAAAACAAAUGAAUGAUUGGCAUUUUACAUUAAAGAGCAUCCCAUUGUUUAUUUCUUCAUCGGAGCUCCACCGGAACUUGAUGAUGUUAAGACCCAGACUUUUCUUGUUUAGCAUCUUUGCCCUUACUUUAUCUCUAUCCCCAGAUGUUUCCGAUGGUAGAGCAGGCAAAAGCAACCACUGUGGCCCAUCUUUGUGUGGACACGUUAAUAUCAGACACCCUUUCCGACUAAAAGGUCAGCCUCGUCGAUGUGGUGACCGUAGGUAUGAAUUAGAAUGCAAGAGAAACCGCACCAGUUUUCCCAUGAAAUACGGAAACUUUUAUGUCCUAAACAUCUCUUAUGUUGACCGAACGCUUCGACUUGUGGAUGUGAGUCUGGUCGAUGAAAACUGCUCAAUUCCUCGCAGUUCCAUUGUCUAUUAUCCAUACAGCUAUCAAGAAGACAUAAAUUAUGGAAGACACACCAUGUAUCUGGUAAAUUGCACGACAAGGAUGAAGUCUUCUUCAGUUUAUGUCGAUGCUUCUCGUUGCCCAACCAAUAGCUCUUCUUCUCCUUGGACCUACUUCUACUUUCCAGUCUCGUUUUCAAAUAUAUCCGAUUUCCAUCAUUCGUGUAGAUUUAUAGCCCAGUUUCCUGUCAUGCUUUCCAAUAUUAGUGGCUUAUCCCCUUCUUACAUUUACAAAAACCUGUUGGAAGGCGUCGAGGUGUCCUGGUAUAGACCCUUUAGUUUUUGGCCUUCAAACCCGGUUCUCAAAGUGUAAGAGACUUCGAUCUUUAGAUUCUUUCAAUCUAUAACUUUUCAAGGCCUUAUUUAUUGAUUGGUUGCUUUUUUUUUCCUUGGGGGGGGGGGGGGUUAUUCUAGCUUGCUACAGUUGGUGAUCUAUUCACUACGUCCAAUUUUAGCAUACAUAGUAAGCAAUGUGGCCUUUCUUCUACCGGGAAUCAUCGGCCAUUAUCCUUUUGGGAAAGGUUAAUCUUUCAGAUUUCAUAAGUAUCUUUAUUUAUUGGAUUUGCCCUUGAAUUGUAUUCGAGUUAGUAAUAUUAUUGUUCAAUUUGCGUUUUAAACAGGAGCCACCUUCGUUUGUCUUGCAGUAUCAGGUAAAUCUCUUUCCCUUCCCACUUUUUAUGUUAUCUUUAUAAAAUAAUCAUGAAUGCUGAUUUAUCCAUGUGUAUGCACCUUGAUGGGCAAGCAGGCAUAUUGUUAGCGAGAACUUUGUUGGGGAUAUUCUGCCUCAUUACACUUGUCAUAUGCAAACUAAAGAGGAGGCAUUUGUCGAUGGAUGAUGAUAUCGAAAACUUUCUUCAAAGUCAAAAUAAUUUAAUACCUAUUCGAUAUUCGUAUUCUGAAAUAAAAAGAAUUACGGAAGGUUUUAAAGUUAAAUUAGGUCAAGGUGGUUAUGGUUCUGUGUUUAAAGGAAAGCUUCGCAGUGGUCGGCUAGUGGCAAUAAAAAUGUUAGAUAAAUCCAAAGCAAAUGGAGAAGAUUUCAUCAAUGAAGUUGCUACUAUUGGAAGAAUUCAUCAUAUUAAUGUAGUGCAACUUAUUGGGUUUUGUGUAGAGAGAUCAAAACAAGCUCUUGUAUAUGAUUUUAUGGUGAAUGGGUCUCUGGAUAAAAUUAUAUUUUCAAAGGAGAAUUGCACUUUAAGUUGGCAAAAAUUAUUUGAUGUUGCACUUGGUGUGGCUCGAGGAAUUGAAUACUUGCACCGGGGUUGUCAAAUGCAAAUUUUGCAUUUUGAUAUCAAGCCGCACAACAUUCUUUUGGAUGAAAACUUUAUCCCUAAAGUUUCUGAUUUUGGUCUUGCAAAAUUAUAUUCAGUGGAUGACAGUAUUAUUUCUCUCACAGCGGCUCGUGGUACAUUAGGAUACAUUGCUCCUGAAUUAUUUUACAGAAAUAUUGGAGGCAUCUCAUAUAAAGCCGAUAUUUAUAGUUUUGGAAUGUUAUUAAUGGAAAUGGUGGGAAGAAGAAAGAAUUUGAAUGCAUUUGAUGAUCAUUCUAGUCAAAUUUAUUUUCCGUCAUGGAUUUAUGAUCGAUUUGAACAAAGAGAGAACAUAGAAUUAGGGGAUGUAACAGAAGUUGAUGACAAAAUAGCAAGGAAGAUGAUAAUGGUUGCAUUUUGGUGCAUACAAAUGAAUCCCACUAAUCGUCCUUCAAUGAGCAAAGUUUUGGAAAUGCUCGAAAAUGAACAUGAUCAACUUGAAUUGCCGUCCAGACCUUCACUAUUUUCUCUCGAAAAGUCGACUGAAGAUCAUGUUUGUAAGAAUGUAUCGGAGGAACCAUCAACGUCAAAAAGUUGUGUGGACAUCUAAGUAUAAUGUUUGAUUUUAUUCGGACCUUUUAUACAUAUAGUUCUGCAAGUACUGUAAGCUUUUAAUUUGUAGCAUUUCAUGCUCAGUUGUAUAAUAUCCAGCAUCAUGUAAUACGACUAUUAAUGGAUGUGUGUUUUAGACUUUAGCUCCUUAGCUUCAUGUUUCAAUUAUUAAAAAUGUCUCCUUUUCACCAUAUAAUGAGUUAAUAUCAAAUUCGUUAACAAUUAUUUAGUAUGUAAGUGACUCUUAACAUUGCGUGAUCUCAUGAGAAAGUUUUUACUCUCUUAUCGUAAUAUGUAAUCAUGCUGAUAAAAGUAACUUGUAAUAAUUAUGAGUGUGGUGUGGCGGUUGCUCACUUUAUUUUUUAAUCAUGUAGUCAGGGUUUGAGUUCCGCUCAUAGAAAUGGAAUACCUUCCAACGAUGAAUAUCUUAAUUUUGACAAUUAAACAACAUUUAAGAUAGAAUCUUUUCAUUUAUUAGUAGAAUUUAUAUACUAACAGCCAUGCAGCAUUUCAUUUAUGAGUUCAAAUAAAAUCUUAGCAUUGGUGUAAUAUGAGUGUGCUAAUAGGUGAUUUCAAGUUUCAACUGAUUCUAGUACUACUAACAAUGAGGCUCGAGACUGUUCUUAUUCCAUUUCUGAAAUAGUGGGUAGAUCUCUGUUAACCGGCUUCCUAGGUAUGGUGGCACCCAUCGUCUUCGGUGGAUCUGUUGACACAAAAGGAUUUGGGGGCAUUGUAAGAACGUCAAGCUCUCCCUCUAACAUCUGAACCACCACUUUCAUCGAAGGACGAUCAACGGGAUACCACUGAAUGCACCAAAGUCCAACGAUCAUGAGUUUCUUUUCUAUCCCUGUUUGUGCAUCAUCUUCAAUUCGAAUCCCGAACUCCUCUCCUUUAUCCAAACGAUCAUAUGCCCAUUCUGGGAAAUACACUUGGCUUGUAUUCUCGACCAUAACAUCUAUGUUCUUUCUCCCCCCAACCAUUUCAAGCAACAGCAUUCCAAAACUAUAAACAUCAGACUUAUAUGACACAUUUCUGAAGUUGCGAGACAGUACCUCUGGUGCAAUAUAGCCCAUGGUACCUCUUGUUGGCACAUAAUUAAAUUAACCUUGCACAAAUAAAUUAUGAAAAGUUAGAAGAGUGAAGAGACUUGAAUAUGAAUAGUGAAGAGACUUGAAGAUGAAAAGUUAAGAGUCUUGAAUAUGAAAGGAUACACACAUGCAUGAAUAGUCACAACUCCUAGCAUAUAGUGAUUUAGAUGAAUAGUCACUUACAACUCCUAUAUAAAGAGUUGUAUGUAAUGAAGAAUAAUUAACUUGUGUGCUUGAAAUAAAAGCUUAUUUGAAAGAAUUUUUCCAUACAAAAUUUAUUUCUCUUCUCCAUUAUAUUCUUUAUCAUUUUCUUUGUUUUAUUUCUCCAAAUAUUAAUUAUUCAACUACAAAUUGGUAUCAGAGCCUUGUUCGAUCGAAAUGAACAAUUCUAUUCCUCUUUCUUCCGUUCCCCAAUUAACCAAAGAAAAUUAUGGCAAAUGGAGUAUCCAAAUGAAGGCUCUUCUUGGAUCUCUAGAAGUUUGGGAGAUUGUUGAAAAAGGUUAUAAUGAAGUUGAGGCUGAAGAGGAGGAAGGAUUAUCACAAGUUCAAAAAGAGGGUUUAAGAAAAUCAAGGAAAAAAAAUAAACAAGCCUUAUUUUGGAUAUAUCAAGGAGUUCAAUCAAAUGAAGCAGCAUGGGAAAAAAUAGCUUGUGCCACCACGGCAAAACAAGCAUGGGAGGUUUUACAAAAUUCUUUCAAAGGAGAUGAAAAGGUGAAAAGAGUUCGGUUGCAAACUCUUCGAGGGGAGUUUGAAAGAUUGCAAAAAAUAGAGUCGGAAUCAGUUUUUGAUUACUGUUCACGAGUUUUGUCCAUAGUCAACCAAUUGAAAAGAAAUGGUGAAACUAUGGAUGAUAGUCGUGGUGUUGAAAAAAUCCUCCGUUCUUUGGAUUCUAGAUUUGAUUACAUUGUGGUAGCCAUUGAAGAAUCAAAGGACUUGAGUACCAUGACUAUUGAUGAACUCACAGGUUCGUUGCAAGCCCAUGAAGAAAGAUUAAACAAGAAGAAGAAGGAAGUAGAUCUAGAUCAAGCACUCCAGUCAAAGUUGUCUCUAAAUGAGAAGAAAGGAGAAUUUAAAAAUCAAAGAGGGAGAGAUCGUGGAAGAGGAAGAAAUUUUAGAGGAAGAGGCUCAAAUGCUCGUCAAAGAUAUGAAAAUACAAGCACGGAGAAUGGAUGGAAAGAAGCCAGCCAAAGUCAGAAUUUUAGAGGAUCACAAAGAGUACGUGGACGUGGAAAUCAAAGAGGAAGAGGUCGUGGCUAUUUUGAAUGUUAUCAUUGUCGCAAACCUGGUCAUUUGGCAAGUGAAUGCUGGUACAAGAAAGAAGAGAAAAAUGAAGCUAAUAUAGUACAAAAUAAUCAAGAGCAAAAGCAAGAAACUUUGUUGCUCGUGUCUCAUGGUGGAGAGAUUGAUGAUGUCUGGUACAUAGACAGUGGUGCUAGCAAGGCUAUGACAGGUAACAAAAAUUUAUUUUCGAAGUUCUUUGAAUCUGAUUGUGGAGAAGUAAAAGUAGGAGAUGGCAAUGCUUACAAAGUUAGCGGUGUUGGUGAGUUGGAGUUCAAAACAAAGCAAGGAAGGGUAGAGAAAAUGUCUGAAGUUUAUUUUGUUCCCGGACUUAAAAAUAAUCUGCUUAGUGUUGGGCAUCUUUUAAAGAAGGGGUAUGAUAUUCAUUUUCGUGACAUGGCUUGCUAUUUAUCAAGGAAAAAUCAGGUUGUUGCUAGAGUUGGAGUGGCAUCAAAUAAUCUUUUCUCUCUCACCCUUCAAAAUCAGAAUAUGUCUUGUUUUAUUGGUGCUCAUAAAGGAGUUUCAAAGUUAUGGCAUGAUAGAUAUGGACAUUUGAACUAUGGAAAUUUGGAGAUGCUUUCAAAGAAGAUGAUGGUCAGAGGUUUACCAAAAAUCAAUCGACUUGAUGAUAUUUGUGAAGCAUGUCAACUUGGAAAGCAACACAAAAUUACUUUUCCUUCUCAAUCAUCGUGGAAAGCAAGAAGACCAUUGCAACUUAUUCACUCAGAUCUUUGUGGUCCAAUGACAAUUUCAUCUUUGGGAGGUAAUCGUUAUUUUAUCUCUUUCAUUGAUGAUUACUCAAGAAAGUUAUGGGUGUAUUGUGUAAAAGAAAAAUCAGAGGCUUUUCAGAGAUUCAAAGAUUUCAAGGCAGAAGUGGAGAACUUUACUGGGCUAAAAAUUAACACCUUACGGACAGAUCGUGGAGGUGAAUAUUUUUCAAAAGAAUUUGAGAAAUAUUGCCGAGAUAGUGGCAUCCGGCAUGAAAUGACAGUCCGCCAUACACCUCGGCAAAAUGGUGUGUGUGAAAGAAAGAAUAGAACAAUUAUGGAAAUGACUAGAUGUCUUCUUAGGAAGAAGAGGUUAUCAAGAAGAUUUUGGGCUGAAGCUGUUUCUUGUGCAGUUUAUCUUAUAAAUAGAUCACCGACAAGAAGCUUGGAGAAUUGCACACCACAUGAGGCGUGGUAUGGUAUAAAGCCUAGUGUUAGUCAUCUUAGAGUAUUUGGGAGUGUUGCAUACUCUCAUAUUCCAGAUGCAAUGAGAAGCAAGUUGGAUGACAAGUCAGAGAAAUGCAUUUUUAUUGGUUAUAGUGAAAGAAGUAAGGCAUACAAGUUGUACAAUCCGGUGACAAAGAAGAUUGUGAUAAGCCGAGAUGUUCGGUUUGAUGAAAAUUCCAUGUUUGAAGAUAUAGAAGUUGAAAAGGAAAAUUUGCCAAUUUUUCCUUUUGAACUUGAAGAAGAAGAAGAUGCAGUAAUUGAGAAUGCUGAAGAUGAUGCUCAAGUAGGAAAUCCUCCUGCUUCCUCAAGUUCUUCAUCAAAUUCUUCUUCAUCCAGCCCGAUCCGAAAAACGAGAAGCAUCCAAGAGUUAUAUGAUGUAACGGAUGAAGUUGUGCAAAAUGAUGUUGUAUUCUUUGCCUUCUUUGCAGGAGAAGAUCCAAUUUCUUUUGAUGAUGCAUAUCAAGAAGAAAUAUGGAGGAAAGCCAUGAAAGAAGAGAUUUGCUUAAUUGAAAACAAUGAUACAUGGGAACUCACAGAUUUACCGCCGCACAAGAAUUUAAUUGGAGUCAAAUGGGUGUACAAGACAAAGAUGAAUCCGAAUGGCUCUAUCAACAAGUACAAGGCAAGACUGGUUGCAAAAGGAUACAAACAAAAGGAAGGAGAAGAUUUUACAGAGGUAUUUGCUCCAGUUUCAAGACUUGAGACAGUUCGGUUACUUAUUUCUCUUGCUGCCCAAAACAAUUGGAAAAUGUUCCAAAUGGAUGUAAAAUCUGCGUUUUUGAAUGGUGUUCUCAAAGAAUAAGUCUAUGUUGAUCAACCACCAGGGUUUGUCAAAAAAUGAGAAGAAGAAAAAGUUUACAAGUUGAAGAAAGCUUUGUACGGGUUGAAGCAAUCACCCCGAGCUUGGUACAGCCGAAUCGAUUCUUAUUUUCAGAAGUGUGGAUUCCAGAAAUCUCCAUAUGAGCAUACUCUCUACAUCAAAGGCAAUUAUCAAGGAAGAUUCAUGGUUGUUAGUCUCUACGUUGAUGAUCUUAUUUUCACAGGAAAUGAUGUGAAGAUGUUGAAAGAAUUUCAGCACUCAAUGAUGGCAGAAUUUAAGAUGAUAGAUUUGGGAGAACUUCAUCAUUUUCUUGGUAUUGAAGUUCAUCAAUCUAAGAAAGGAAUUUUUAUUUCACAAGAGAGCUACGCAAAGGAAGUUCUAAAAAAGUUCAUGAUGGAAAAUGCGAAUCCAAUCUCUACUCCAUGCAUUACAAGUCUGAAGUUAUCUAAAGAGGGUGAAGGAAAGCUUGUCAAUUCCACCAUAUUCAGAAGUUUGGUUGGGAAGUUGAUGUAUCUGACUUCGACAAGGCCUGACAUCGUGUAUGCUGUUAGUUUGGUGAGUAGAUUCAUGGAGAAACCUUACUCCAAUCACUGGGAGGCUGCUAAGAGAAUAUUGAGAUAUGUGAAGGGAACCAUUGAUUAUGGAAUUUUCUAUAAAGCUAAUACUUAGUUGAUCUCAUUGGUUAUACGGAUAGUGAUUUAGCAGGAAGCAUUGAUGAUAGCAGAAGCACUUCUGGUUAUGUUUUUCACCUUGGGAGUGGUGCAGUUUCAUGGAGUUCAAAGAAACAAUCAAUUGUGGCGCUUUCGACUACAGAAGCUGAAUAUAUCGCUGCAUCUUAUGCAGGAUGUCAAUUGAUUUGGUUACGUGGAAUUUUGGAAAGUCUUAAGCAGAAGCAAAGCAAGUCAACAAUUUUGUUUUGUGACAAUAGUUCUACUAUUUCGGUCACAAAAGAUCCAGUUCUUCAUAGAAGGACAAAACACAUUCGCAUUCGAUAUCACUUCUUGAGGGAACUAGUGAAUAAUGGUGAUGUUCAAGUUGAAUAUUGCAAGACAGAAGAUCAGAUGGCUGAUAUCUUCACAAAGCCUCUAAGUGGACAAGUCUUCAAGAAAAAUGUUGAAAGGUUGGGAGUUCAAAGCAAGUUUAAUUUAAGGGAGGCAUUGUUGGCACAUAAUUAAAUUAACCUUGCACAAAUAAAUUAUGAAAAGUUAGAAGAGUGAAGAGACUUGAAUAUGAAUAGUGAAGAGACUUGAAGAUGAAAAGUUAAGAGGCUUGAAUAUGAAAGGAUACACACAUACAUGAAUAGUCACAACUCCUAGCAUAUAGUGAUAUAGAUGAAUAGUCACUUACAACUCCUAUAUAAAGAGUUGUAUGUGAUGAAGAAUAAUUAACUUGUGUGCUUGAAAUAAAAACUUAUUUGAAAGAAUUUUUCCAUACAAAAUUUAUUUCUCUUCUCCAUUAUAUUCUUUAUCAUUUUCUUUGUUUUAUUUCUCCAAAUAUUAAUUAUUCAACUACACCUCUAGCUGUUGUCAUUGAAAUAGCACUUUGUUCCUUGGAACACAAUUUAGCAAGGCCGAAAUCAGAGAUCUUAGGAUUGAAGUUGUGAUCAAGCAAAAUAUUGUGAGGUUUGAUGUCGAAAUGGAGGAUACGUUGCUCGCAACCUUGAUGCAGGUACUCGAUGCCUUUGGCUACACCGACAGCAAUAUCCUGAAGUUUUUCCCAACUAAGGGAUCAAUCCUUGCCCUUGGCUGCAAAUAUGAACUUCUCUAAUGACUCGUUUGGUAGGUAUUCAUAAACGAGAGCUCGGUCAUAUCCAUCGGCACAAAAGCCAACCAGGCGAGUCACAUUCACAUGGUGGAUUCUGCCCAUCGAACCCACCUCGUUGAAGAACUCUUCACCAUUUCCCUUGAAAUUAUUGAGUACCUUGACAGCAACUAAAACAUCACUGGAAAGUCUGCCUUUGAAGACAGUUCCAUAGCCUCCUUGUCCCAGUUUGUCCUUGAAAUGAUUAGUUAUCCUUUUAAUAUCAGCAUAGGAGUAUCUUGAGGGUUUAAACCCUUUAUAAUCUUCCAAAAACUUUUCAAUCUUGACUUGAAUUUCUUUCUCCUUUUUGUCUAACUGAUAUCUCCACCCAACUGCAAUGGCAAUGGUUGCAGCAAUUGAAGAACCCAACACAAUACCUGCAAAUCAGCAUACAUCCCUCUGUUAUAUCCCGUCUUAAAUUUUUGAAGCUAAAAGGGAAAUUCCAUUUACCUGCAAUCAUUAGCCUUUCUCCCAAACCUGCCAAGCAUUUAAAAUUAUUCAGCUUUGAUACAUGGGAAAUCUAAGAAAAGGGCUCACUGUAAGUUUACAACAUUAAGCUUCACGUUGAUGCAGGCUAAUGAAUUUUUUAACGUACGUUGUACAAUUAUAAUAGUUAAAACAUACCUAUAUGGUGCUUGGGGAUAUCAAAACACUCGGUUUGUUCCUUGGUGCUAUUAUUGUUGUUCAAUCUACAUCCCCUUCCUUGAGCUUCGCAAUCACCACAGUCUGGUUUAUACCAACGUAACUGAAAACGGAUACCAUAAGGAGAAAUGGGUGUUGAGAAGUUGCGAAAGUAGCUGCAAUUCAACAGGUUGAGUCCAUAAUAAUUUUCAUCAGAAGCAAAAGCUAUAAUUUGGGAGCCAGGGGUGCUUAAGCAAGCGACUCUAUAUCUUUUAUACAAAGCCUUCUCUUGGCUUAAACAUUCGAACAAGGUAUAGUUGGAUUCAGCUGGUUGGGAUCUAUAAUCUUUUAGGCCGCUGAAACCUGGUUGUUCCUCCGCGAAUGGAAAGGCAGAUAAAUUGAGAUCUAAAAGCUGCUGCCAGAGGCAACGGCCGGGAACGUAUAAGUCAAUCCGUUGAGCUUCAUAAUCUAUGUGCUUCACCAAUAGCUUCAGCGAACGUGGUAUCUUCAGCAGGGUCUGUUUGUUUUCUGAGCAGGAAAGCUGAAACCCAGGAUGAGGAUAGCCGCAGUGGGGAGACUGCUGGCCUUCUAAACGGAAGGGGAAACGGACAGGUGGAUCCUGGUGGUUGCACCGCCGCACCUUGCAGUCGUCUUGGAUUGGCACUGCUUCUGCAACAUUCACAGCUAAGAUAAAGCAGAAUAACGAGUAAAUUAACAUUGUUCUUACUAACUUGUGAGCCCCUAAAGUGAAACGGGCUUUAAAUAGUUUCAUUGACAUAGGUGGUUCAGCCCUUGAGAGUUCCAAUUAUGCACGCAACGCAGCUGCUGCUUUACUACAUAGCUUUGUCUCGUUUAACAGGGUCUUCAACUCUUCGUCCUCUCUUUGUCCUCUUUUAUGAGUAAAUGUUGGACAUGUUUGAUUGUUAGCAACCCUUUCUAACCUUGUUACUAAUUUUCUUUUAUUCCCGUUAGUUGUAGUAAAAUUUGAGGAAAAAACACUGAACAUGAGAAUGAAUACCGAUUUGCUGUUGUGAUCAUAGUGGGGUCAGCUUGACUGACUUUUGUUUUUCCACCUUCGUUUCACUACAUUUUGUUUGGUAUGACUAAGAAGUUGACUGACUUUUAUGGGUUCUUUUUAAUGUCUAUCGUUUCUUUUCUAAUGUAGGUGGAUUUUUUCUCACUUUCUUUUUUUCUAAUUUAUCUUUUAUUUUUAAAAAUGGCAAAACUCGAAUCAUAUGUUUUUAAAUUACUUAUACAAAUUUUUUUAAAAGUGGAUACAAGACAAUGAGAUGAUUUUUUCCACAUGAGUAUGAAACAAUUAUAGUCAUUGUUUGCUCUACUCACCCUAUCUCGAAAUAAUCUUUUACCUUUUUUUUUGUAUAUAAUUAUUAAAAUGAUAAAAAUGUAAUAAUAUGUUAUAGAAAAAAUUCAUAUGUUUUAUACUUAUAUUUUUUAAAAAUUAUGUUUAAAUAUUUACUUUUCUUAAAAAAAAGUAAAAUUAUUAAAAUAACUAAAAAUAAAAAUUAAAUUAAAGUAGAGCGAAGCAAGGUGAGAUGGGAUGGGGAUGGAUGCUUCUAAUAUCUAUGCGGUGAUAGUAAUUUUUCAGAUUAUACAUCCAACACAAGUAAAAAUUCAUAUGCAAGGAAUCAAAAUAUCAGUCCACUAAGCCAAUAAUUUAAUUACAACAUUAAGAUAAUUGAAAACGUAACGAUUACAAACUAAUUUUUUAAAUGUUGGUUGCUUAAAACGUAAGGAUCACAUGCACUAUAAACGUAAGGACCACCGUUGAAAGCCAUGCAAAAAUCUACAAUUUUAUAUUUAUAUGUGUAUAUAUACACAUAUACAUAUACACGUAAACACUAUAAAUCAUGCCAACCAUUAACAAAGCCAUGCAAAUAUUUAUAUUUAUAUAUUUCAUAUAUUUAUACAUUCACAUGCACAUAACUAAAUACGACAUCAUGCAAAUAUAGUUAUGUACAGAAUAUUGAUAUAUUAUCUCAUCAAUUUUAAAAAUAAACAACACCAAAAGACCAAGCUUUACACUACUCACACGACAUAACAUUGGUUUCACGAAUCCUCAAAGCACUACUCCCUCUGGGCUUUCUAUUAACAGCAACCUCCUUUGUCUUUAUUUGGUUGUGGCUUCUAUGCAGAUUAGACGAGAGGCUUCAAUGGAUGAUAUAAAAGAGGUGGUGUUGGUCAGUGUUGGGCAGAGGUGGCCUGAUGUCGGUGCAAGGAGAUCAACGGUUAGGGACGAGGGUGACUGUGGAGCGAUGAGAUGUUGGGGCGACGGAAGAACUCACGAUGGCGGUGAUAGGGCGGACAAUGGUGCAUUGAUGGAGAUGACUCCAAGGCAGCGUGAUGAAAGGGAGGGACGACUUGGGGCAGUUGGCUGACGGUGUGGCGACUAAGAGGAUCGGUGCUUAGUGAUGGAAUGAAGGAGAUAAUGCCUGACGUUGGGGAGUGAAAGGUGGUAAUCAGUCUUUUAUUAGGUUUGAUAGUAGGAAAGUUUGACCAAAUGUAUUCAUUCUUUAUUAGUCAUAACUCUGAAACCUAAUUGAUGAUGAUGAUAGAGCACACACACCUAAGCCACCACUCUCUCGACUAAUUCCAGUUUUUCCUUGCUUUUCAAAAGUAUUUUUAGAAAAUACUUUUAAAGUACUUUUAAAAAAUUUGAGUAUUUGGUAUUACUAACAUAAAGUGUUUUUGAAAAAUAAAAUAUUUAUUUUAGACAUGAUAUUAUAAAGUAAUAAAUAUGUAUUUAAAUAAUAUUCAAAUUAGUUAAUAUUAUGAUAUUUUAGCAAAAAAAUAAAAAAUAAUUUAUUAUAACUUAUUGUUAAUAUUUUAAUAUAUAAUAUUAAUUUUAAAUAUUUCUAAGUAAUUAAUAUUAAUUAUUUAUUAACUUUAAUUAGAAUAUAUAAACUAUAUUUAAAUAUUUAAAUAUAAUAAUUAAAUAAUUGUAAUUAGAUAUUGACACAACUGUAUUAUUAUAAAAAUUAUUUUUUAUUUUUAAUUAAUACUUUUUAACACAUUUGUAUUAUUUUAUUUUAAAAUGUAUUUGAAUAUAUAACUCAUAUUAGAUAUUAACAUAACAUAGAAAACAUAAACUUAAAAAAUUAAAAUAUUACAUAUAUUUGGAUUAAAGUUUUAAAAAGGGAUAAUAUUUAUAUACCAAAUAUAAAUACUAAAAAUCUUACAAUAGCAUUUACAAUUUAAAGUGAAUUCAUUAAACUAGAAGUUAUAGCAUCUCUUGUUAAUUCCAUUUCAAAACCACUUGAAUUGUUUGAUUCACUGUCAUCAUCACUAUCUUCGUCGUCGUCGUCAUCAUAUCACUUUAUCGACCAUGCGCAUUUUCUGAAUCAAUAAUAUUCUCAUAUGCCCAGUUAAUAUCUUCGUAUUCCAUAAAAUCUACAUCAUUUCGACCGAAAUGUUUUCAGAUAAAAUUGUGUAUCGUCAUUGUAGCAACAACGAUCAUGGUUUGCUUUCAAAAAUAUAACUUGGCAUAUCCCUUAAAAUGGCUCUUUUUUUCAAAACACCAAAAGUUCGUUCAAUUACACUACGUAAUGAUGAAUGUGAAUGAUUGAAUAUCUCUUCUAUACCAGAUAUCGGUCUACUUCUACAAAAGUCAAGUAAAUGAUAUCGCUGAUAUUUUGGUAGGGGUUUUGCUUAUGAUUGCGGCACUCUUUAAUAUGUACCAUUUGCAAUACAUUUAAGUAAAAAUAUUAUUAUAUAUAAAGUCCUAAGGCAGUCAUUAAGAAAACCCAUGUAGUUACUUCAAACAUGUGGUAUUAUUGAUUAUCAAAGUAAUGGCAUUAAAGGCAUGACUUCCCCACUCCACCGGUCCAGCUGCAACUGCAUUAAUGGAGUAAAAAAGACACAUACCUAGCUACAAAACUCAAUUAUGGCUUGUUUCCAAACCUUACCAAACCAUGAACUCAACAUGAUACUUCAAACAAUUGAAUCACCAAACUAAAAGAGAAAAAAAGAAUUUCAAAAACUAGAAUAAAUUGCUUGGAUGUUUAAGUUCAAACCUGGGAAUAUAUAUAUAUAGAAACGCAAAAGCUGAAGCAAAAAGAAAAGAAAAAAGCCAGUGUAACCUCCAGUAAGAAGCUCAAAAGAAUGGAAAUGCUAGCAUUAAUUACCAAUCAGAAUUAAUAUAUAGUAAAGUAAUUAAGUUGAAAAAAAGAACUUUGCAAAUGAAGAAGAGACAGAAAACAACACACAUAAAAAAUGGACAAAGACUGAUGAUGUUUGUAAACCAUCCAGAAAAUAGAAUAAGAAGAGAACAAAUCCAUCAACCACCUCUCUGAAAACUAUCCAUUUGCCAGCAGAGGAACAAAAAACCAGCACCAGCAGAGGAACAUAGAACGAGCGAUGAAAGAAGAGAUGAGAGCAAAGAACCACUGUUGUAUGUGUGGCUAAAAAAGUAAAAGACUAGCCCAAAAGUACUUUUUUGCUGAAAAAGCUAAAAAAUUCUACUUUUUCAUCUGCCCAAAAGCACUUCAAAUAAGUUCGAAAUUUGCUACCAAAUGAAGUCGGUUCUGCAUUGCUUUUUAGAUAAAAGCACUUUUCCUUUACUGAAUUGAAUUAAUGGAAAAAAACGACAAAGAGUGUAAUUUUUACUUUACUUUACUGAAAGUGAAUGGAUAAAUAUGGAAUUAGAGAAUAAAGAAAAUUGGGGAAAAAAGAAGAAGAAGAAGGAGAAGUGUUAUCAUGAUUAUGACCCUUGGAUAUUAUGGAAGAAGUGAAGAAAUAAUUGCAAUUGGAUAUUAAUUAUAAUGUUGGGAUUUUUAUUAAUGUUUUAAUUAUAUUAAUUGUUACAUGGCUGUGUGGCUCAAAUGGACGUGUGGAAGAGGUCAGUUUAUGUGGCUCCCGUACUUGUUUUGAUUUUCGAUUCUUGAUAAGUGUCAAAAGUAACAUAUUUUAAUUUCGUUCUUAAUACGUUUUUAGAUGAUUAAUCAAUGCAAAAUGGUGAAUUUUAUACUCAUAAUCCUUUAAAUUCAUAUUUCUAUACUUAUAAGAGCAUUUUGAGAAAAAAAUGAGUGAAAACGGAGCGAAAAUCAGACAAUUGGAGUAGAUUUCAGGAGCCACACGGGUUGGACACACGGUCAUGUGAGCCACACGAGCUGCCACACGAGCUGCCACACAGCCAUGUGCCAGACCGUGUGGAUUUCGCGUUUCACACUCCAAAUAUGUGGAAUCACGCAGUUUUUAGGUUUUUCGGGCAUUCUUAAACCUAUAUAUACCAAAUAUAAGGAGAGAAGUAAGAGCCGUCAGAGAAUAUUGAAGAAAACAACUCAGAAGACACCAUUGAAGCCAACUUUGAAACAGAUUUCCACUAAGAUUGAAGAUCUCCUUUUGAUUUAUUUGAAGUUUAUUAUGAGUUUCUUUAUUUUUUGUGGUUAUAUUGUCUUUGAGAUGUUUUUAUUCGCGAUUAUGAACUAAUUUUCUAAUACCUAGGGGAGAUGAACCUUAUAAUGAAUUUUGUCUUUUGAUUUCUGUUUUAUGCAAUGAAUAAUUGAAUCUUAUUCUUAGUUAUGUGUGCUUAAUUCUUGAUUUAAUAUUUUCUAAUUAUUAAUUCAUGUUUGAUGUGCUUAAUUCAAAGUAGAUCUAGCAUAAUUGAGUGGAGUUGCAUGUAAUCUUAGAAAUAGGACGACAUAAAUCUACCGAAUUAGGUAUUCAUAAACGAGAACUCAAUCAUAUCCAUCGGCACAAAACCCAACCAGGUGAGUCACAUUUACAUAGUGGAUUCUACCCAUCGAACUCACCUCAUUGAUGAACUCUUAAUAUUUAACUAAAGUUUGCUUUCUACUUUUUUUUUUAUUUCCAUUUUUAAGAAAAUGUUAUUUUAUUAAUUCAAUUAUCAAAAUUAAUAUUAUUUUAUUUAAAUUAGAUUAAUCCUCAUUUAAUUAUUACAAGUAUAUUAUUUUAGAAUUAUAAAAAUUAUUAUUUAAUAAAUUAAACAAAUAAACAUUUAAAAUCACAUACAUUACAUUAAAAACUAAUAUAUCUAAAUAUAUAUUUUACCACUUAUUUUAAUCUUGUUAUUUUUAAUUUCAUCAAAAUUAUAUAUCACUCGAGCCACUGCGACUGCUGACUGGCGAUUAUUGCCUGCAUAAUUUGAUGAAAGGUUCUGAAUUAAUACAUCCAAGACUUUUAUGAGCAUCGCCAUUGACUGACCGACGACUUGUAUGAAAGAAUUUUCCACAUUAGCUUUAUUAUGGACUGAUUUUUCAAAGAAAGACUUGCUCUCAGUUGCAGCCAUAAAAUAAAUGAAUGAUUGGCAUUUUACAUUAAAGAACAUCCCAUUGUUUAUUUCUUCAUCGGAGCUCCACCGGAACCUGAUGAUGUUAAGACCCAGACUUGUCUUGUUUAGCGUCUUUGCCCUUACUUUAUCUCUAUCCCCAGAUGUUUCCGAUGGUAGAGCAGGCAAAAGCAACCACUGCAACCCAUCUUUGUGUGGACACGUUAAUAUCAGUCACCCUUUCCGCCUAAAAGGUCAGCCUCGUGGAUGUGGUGACCGUAGGUUUGAAUUAGAGUGCAAGAGAAACCGCACCAGUUUUCCCACGAAAUACGGAAACUUUUAUGUCCUAAACAUCUCUUAUGUUUACGGAACGCUUCGACUUGUGGAUGUGAGUCUGGUCGAUGAAAACUGCUCAAUUCCUCGCAGUUCCAUUGUCUAUUCUCCAUACAGCUAUCAAGAAGACAUAAAUUAUGGAAGACACACCAUGUAUCUGGUAAAUUGCACGACAAGGAUGAAGUCUUCUUCAGUUUAUGUCGAUGCUUCUCGUUGCCCAACCAAUAGCUCUUCUUCUCCUUGGACCUACUUCUACUUUCCGGUCUCGUUUUCAAAUAUAUCCGAUUUCCAUCAUUCGUGCAGAUUUAUAGCCCAGUUUCCUGUCAUGCUUUCCAAUAUUAGUGGCUUAUCCCCUUCGUACAUUUACAAAAACCUGUUGGAAGGCGUCGACGUG